rnacentral:lncRNA from 1 species
AAAAUCUCAAUCUCAAAUAAUUUCAAAGUCUCAAAGAAAACAAAAAUUUAUAUUUGGGCCCUGUUUAAAAUAGCCAACACUUUCAAGAAAAGUUUACUAAUUCGUGAAUACAGUUCAACUAUAAAAUUUUCUAAACAAUCUCAAGUACUAAAACAAAACAUGAGAAACAAAACAUUAAGUGGAAGCAAAUUAAAAUAUCCCCUAUGGCAAUCACGCUUCCUUCCUGCCCCUCGCCGGUUUGUCGCCUUUAUUACCUUUGCCUGAAAAAAUUAAACAUAAGGAGGGUGAGUAUAAAAUACCCAGUAAGAAACCCUCUACUGGUCCCAUCAGGGGAAAAUAAAUUGUUAACAUUCUAUUGGGACACCCUGUACAGUCGCAGGGCAAUGGUUCACGGCAAGGCAAAAAUGAGCCCAAUGGUUCACGGCAAGGCAAAAAUGACAAUCAAGAACGAAUCAAACGGCUGUAAAUAGAGCAACACUGAAUGUGAAUCAACCGGAAAAGAAAAUCGGCUUCAAAUCGUAACUCCGUCUUCCAACGAGCAGAAGAACGACGACUUGAUAGGGGACACGCAAUUUAGGAAGAGAUCGGCUACCGGUGGGGACACGGCGUUGCAGAUCUGGACAACGGCGCGGAGACAAAGGUUGCGCGGUGCUGGGCAGAGGGUCACACGUGACUGGGCGGAGGGUCACGCGGUGCUGGGCAGAGGGUCACACGACGCUGGGCAGAAAACAGAGGAGAAAGGAGAGGGGAGACAGCCGGCGGUUACAGGUUCACGCGACGGCCUUGGCUUCGACGGACGGAAGGGAAGAGAGGGAGAUGAUCGGCGGCUGCGACAAAUAGAAGAAGAAAAAGGAAAGAGGUGGGCGGCUGCUAGGGUGAACGGAGAAGAAGAAAGAGAUGGAGGACGCACGGGAGGAAGAAGGAAGGGAAAAAUUCUUUUUCUUUUCUUUUAUUUAUUUUAAAUAAUAAAAACUAAAAUAUAAAUAAAUAUAUAUAUAUAAUUAUAUUAUCACAUUUUCAAAUCUUCUUUCUCCCCCUUCAACAUAUUUUCUUAAAAAAAUAAAUCUUGUACAAAUCGAAAAAUUUUCUUAAAAUAAAUUACCUUCGAGAUUGGGACGUUACACAAGGACUUGAACAUAGGACCUUUCGGACCACCUGCUCUGAUACCAUAUUAAACCCCAAAUUCACCCAAAAGCUUAAGCUAGUGGUUGAAGGUAAAUUUAAUUAUAUAUUACCAAAGUAUGAGGUUUCAUCACAAUACCAAUUGGCAAUGAGAGGAGUAGCUCAUCUAUUUUAUAAGGAGUCUAAGUUUCCUUGGUUUUUCAAUUGUGGGAACAUGCCCCUUCAAGUAUGAGGUUUCAUCACAAUACCAAUUCUUGCCUCUUUGGUUUCACCUAUCUUGAACCAAAUAUCCGUUUAGGCUUAAUGAGCUCUAAUACCAUAUUGAAAGCAAUAUAUACGAAACCAAAGCUUACGUGAAAACGCAAGAAUCGAAAGAAAAGCAUUGUGUUUGUAGAGGCACAAUUAGUUGUUUAAUAUAUAUCACUAACACUAUUGCUGCAAUGAUCGAUCAUCUCGAUGGAUUACCCAUUUAAGAGUUGUUGACAAGAGUUGACACUCUAGAAUCAAAAGUUGUAAGAACUAGAUGUUGUAAUUUAUGUCCUAAAACUCGUUGUAAUCAUAAUCUAUUCAAUUAAGUCGUUAUUGAUACUAUAAUCUUAAAGCCAAUAAACUAAGGACCCGAGUUAUUAUUAAGUAAACUUGAACUUUAUGUAGAGACAUAAAAGUUCAUCAAGUUUAAGUAUAGAGCCUAAAUAGUAUAGAUUGUACGAAUACAGUUAGGCACCUUAUUCCAGGACACAAUGAAUGCAGUCUGCUUUGUAUUUAGUAUAAACGAUGUGAUCCUAAAUCCUAGAGACAUGAAAGUGUGGACAUCCUAUGUAAAGAGUUUACAAAAGACUAGAACCAUGAAAUAGUCACUUUUCUUUAUGCCUUGUAUUUAGUUUAGUCUAUUGCUUUCCUUUUUAUGUCAUAGACCUAGGGUGUGAGGUGUCACACAUUUUCAUUUGCAAAUAUGUCAAAGCUCAAAAAGUCUAAACUAUACUAUAGGAGAGACCCAAUAGUUGAAUCCCCAACCAUGUCUUAUCGUAUUCUUUAUAAUUAAAUUUUUAUUUGCAAUUGAAAGUCUUCAACGCAUUCUUUAAUGAUGUUUUUAAUGAUAUUCUCUCUCACAUUUUAUAAAACAAUUUUUUCAAGAACGAGAAGGGAGGUUAUAUCAUAUCGUGAGUUUGUUUGUGAUUUUCGGAUUUUACAUGCCUGACUUAUUGACUGAGCAAAACAAGUGUUCUACAAUUGUCCGUUCCAUGUUUGAAAGAUUGCGAUUGUGGUACGCAGAGUGUCACAAGUGUGCUUGUCCAAGGCAUUAUUUGCCUAUGGUCGUAUGCUCGUAUAUCCUCAAACCACUUUAUCUUUAUGCUUUGUACUUAGUUUAGUCAACUGCUUUCCUUUUGUUGUCACCGACCUAAGGUGCGUCGUUUCGCAAUUUUCAUAUGCAAUGUUGUCAAUGCUAAAAAAGUUUAAGAUGUAUUGUAGGGGAGGCAUGGUAGUUGAAUCCCCAACUAAGCCCUAUUGUGAUUUUUGCAAAUCUAAGCUUUAUUUGUAAUUGACAAUAUUCAAUUUUUUCUUUAAGGAUGUUAUCAAUGUUUUUCUUUAUCUCUCACGUUUUAUAAAACCAAUUUCUCUCAAAAGAUGAAGCGAGGCUACAUCGUACCACAAGUUUGUCCGCAACUUUCAAAUUUCACAAGGUUGCCUUGUUCAUCAAUUUAGAACAAGUGUUGCACAAUCGCCCGUCCCGUAUUCGAAAAGUUGCAUUUUGUGACAAGUGGUAUUAAAGCUUUGUUAGCUCCUUGGCUAAGCGAGAUGCAAUUAUGUCAACAAUGAAACAACUAUCAAAGUUGCAACCGGAGCGACUGACUGAGAUUGAAGAGGAAUUCUUGGAUAUGAAAGAAUUGCCAAACGAAGUAAGAUUUCUCUAGACCCAACUUGAGAUGUUUAAAGAAAAAGUCAGAGAAAUAGACGCAUUGAAUGCCUAAAUAGACAAACAACCCAUAAAUGAAUUGGUGCUGAGGGUUGUUUCGUUAUAACAUAAAACCACCAAAGUAGGUAGUUUUGAACGUGGAAGUAGCUCUUCAAGUUCUAUUGCACAAAUGGAAGAGCGUGUCGAAGAUUUUGACUUUUGACAAGCUCCAACAUAAUCAGUUAUAUUUGAAGAAAGAGAAAAGUGUUUUUGCUAAAUAGCGUAUCAAUUUUCUAGGUCACAUCAUCGAAUGUAGAAAGAUUUGAAUGGACGAACAUAAGUUGUAAGCUAUUAAGGAGUGGAGAGCCCCCACUUCCGUUUCUAAAAAUAGGGUUCACCUACUAUCCUCUAGACUCAGUACCGGGAGAAAGAAAUAGAUGGAAAAAGAAAUGGGCUUGGUAAUUUUUUUCUAUGUAAAUAAGAAAAAGAAAUCCAAUUUGGUACAAGAGCCCAAAUUCAAUAGUCAGCCCAUCAAAUGAGGUCAACGACCCUAUUUAUAAGGAUUUUCCAUGCAAAAUUGCAUGUCCAUGGAAUACUAAAGCCCAACAACUCAAAGCUCUAUUUCUAAUAUGAAAUUCGAUGGCUAUAACACAUAUACUUGUCAGUUUCUCUCUCUUCUCCCAAUUCGAACAAUUCGACUUAUUCCAUCACACUGUUUUAAGUUUAUUCCAUAUGAGCUAGCAAGGGAACCUAAUGGACCUAUAUAUCAUGGACUCCAAUGAUUCAAGAUUAAUUGACAAAAUUCUUAUAGACUGAGUUAAUCAACAUUCGUUAACUAACGGGUCAUUCAUGUAUGUAUUGGAACGAUUCAGAAUCACCUCGUUUGUACUAACUACAAAGCGGGCGGCAUCCACAAUUUCUCUGAAAAAAUCUGGGUUACUACAACGUCACCACGAUGUACAAUUUUCCUGAUAAGAUGGUACUUACGUUCGAUAUGUUUUUCCCGUUUACGACUUUUAGGUUCUCUUGAAUUUGCAACUGCACCACUGUUAUGACAGUAUAAAGUGAUUGAUAGAUGCAUAUUUGGAACGACUUUCAGAUCUGUCAAGAAUUUUCUUAGCCAUAAUGCUUCUGUUGUUGCUUCAAAAGUUGCUAUGUAUUCUCCCUCCAUUGUGGAAUCAACUAUACAAGUUUGUUUUAUGCUUCUCCAAACUACUACUCUUCUAUUUAGAGUGAAUACUAAUCCUGAUGUAGACUUUCUAGCAUCUUGAUCAGUUUGAAAAUCAUAAUGAGUGUAUCCAGUAAGGAUCAAAUCUUUUGUACCAUACACGAGAAUGUAGUGUUUUGUUCUUCAAAGAUAUUUUUAGAACAUUCUUAACAGUUGUCUAGUGAUCACGUCCAAGAUUGGACUGAUACCUACUGACCAUCCCUACUAAGUAGCAAAUGUCAGAUCUAGUACACAACAUUGCAUAUAUAACAAACUUCCAACAGCGGAAGCAUAGGAAAUUUUUCUCAUAUCCUCAAUUUCUUGAGGUGUCUUAGGACAUUGUUCCUUUGACAAAUGAAUUUCGUAGAUGUAUAAUAGCAUACCCUUUUUGGAAUUCUACAUUUUAUAUCUAGACAACAUUUUGUCUAUAUAAGAUGCUUGAGACACGGCUAGUGUUUUGUUCUUGCAGUUCUGUACAAUUUGGAUCUUAAGAACGUAUUGUGCAUUUCCCAGAACUUUCAUUUGAAAUUGCAUAGCUAGCCAUUUCUUGAUAUUAGUAUGAAAUCCUAUGUCCUUUUCCAAUAAGUAGAAUAUCAUCUACAUACAAGACUAAGAAUACUACAAUGGAAUUGACGACCUUUUUUGUAAACAUAAGGUUCGUCAACCUUUUGUAUCAAAGCCAUAAGAUUUGAUCAUAGUAUCAAAUCUUAUAUUCCAGGAUCUAGAUGUUUGUUUUAAUCCAUAAAUGGAUUUUUGAAUCUUACAAACCUUUUGUUCUUGAUCUUGAUCUAUAAACCCCUAUAAUUGAGUAAUAUAGAUACUCUCUUCAAGAUUGUCAUUCAAAAAAAGUUGUCUUGACAUCCAUCUGCCAAAUUUCAUAAUCAUAAAACGUGGCGAUGCAUAAGACUAUUCUAAUUGACUUUAGCAUGGCAACGAUAGAGAAAGUUUCUUCAUAGUCUAUGUUAGAAAGAGACAUGCGCAGUGGAAAAAUGGAAUACAAAAUUCCCCUAAUUGCACCUAUUUAACUUGCAACCCUAAAUUAAAAGAAUUAGGAAAUAUUAUACCUUUGUAUCUAUUCGAAUAUGAAUGUCUAUACCUCUCACAAAAUUCCAAAAGUUUUUGAAACCAAAAAUGUAACACCUUAAACUUAGGAUUUGGAAUUCGUAUCUCCAGCAUUCUCUGCAUCCCCUGCCACCUGGCAGCAUCAUCCUUACUAUUCUUAAAAACUUAUUAGAAUGAAAUUCCUCUUCACAAAACAACACGAAAUCUUUCAGCACGGUUUUCCUCACUCACAUGCAUCCUAGGAAAAUUUCCAAGAGGUCACCCAACAUAGAAUUUCUUCAAGCUAAGCACGCUUAACUUUGAAGUCCCUAUAAUCGAGCCACCGAAAAAAAAAGGUUCACAUUGUUGGUAUAGGUAUUAAGUUUUAAUUCUUUUCAGUCUUUCUUAACAUGACUUUCAUGUCCUCAAGGUGCACCUUGUCGGUAUACUUGUCGAUUUCUCUCUCUUCUCUCAAUUCGGACAAUUCGACUUAUUCCAUCACAGUUCUAAGUUUAUUCCAUAUGAACUAGCAGGGAAACCUAAUGGACUUAUAUAUCAUGGGCUCCAACGAUUCAAGAUUAACCAUGAUCAAUAAGUUACUCCUUCACAUGUUAUUCGUAACCUCGAAUGGAUCAAAUUACUGUUUUAUCCUUGAGACUACAUCUUAUUUCUUAAGUCUCAUUGAUCCACUAUUGAACAAUUGGUUUAAGCGUCCAACCUAUAAACUUAAUCCCUCUCGGGCUAAUGUGAGGGUGGGGCCCCUUGUUCAAGACAUGGAUUUAGUGCUUAAGAGAACAACCUAUCUACUAACCCUAAAACAGGUAGAAGUGAAUUUUUUCUUGCAUCCUAUGUUCCCAGCCAUUCAUCUGAUCUUACCCUUGAAAUAGGAGGCUUAUUGGGAGAACGUUGAUGAGAUACCCUCACCUAUGCAGAUGUAACCCUAAACCAAGUAGAAGUGAAUUCAGUCUUAUGUAAGUACUUUAUAGUGUUUAAGAGAACAACCUAUCUACUAACCCUAAAACAGGUAGAAGUGAAUUAUGUCUUGCAUCCUAUGUUCCCAGCCAUUCAUCCGAUCUUACCCUUGAAAUGAGAGGCUUAUUGGGAGAACGUUGAUGAGAUACCCUCACCUAUGCAAAUGUAAGGAUAAUCUCAUGUGAACAGGAGUUCAUAGUUAGCUUAGGAUUAAGAUUAAGCUACCUAAGUCAUCAAUAAACGAAAUAGUCAGUUCUAAACAGUAAACGGUGUUUAACGUAAAAGUGACUAUUUCAUGGAUCAGUCUUAUGUAAGUACUUUACAUAGGAUGCCCCACUUUCAUGUCUCUACAUGAACAAUUUAGGAUCACCUCGUUUGUACUAAUUACAAAGCGGGUCACAUCUGUAGUUUCUCUAAAUAAGGCACUAUAGACUAUUGAGGCUAUAUACUCGAACUUGAUCCACAUUUAUGUCUCGACAUAAAGUUCAAAUGUAUUAAAAAAUAGCAUCAAGACUUAGUUUAUUGGAUUUAAGAUUAUAAUUUUUAAUUUUUCAAUAAUGAUUUUAUUGAACUGAAUAUGAUAACAAACUACGAGUUUUAGGACAUAAAAUCCCAACAUAUGUAUUUUUGCCUCUAAUAAUAAUGUUGAAAGAUGUUUAUUGAUGUUGUCUCUUUGAUUUGGAGUCGCCAUGUAGGAGUUUCUCUGAUUGUGAGUUUCGUAAGAAAUUUACAUAACCACAAGCCUACCCUCCAUAUACAGUUUGGUAAGCACAUUCAGAGCCUAAGUGAGGAGGUUCGUAUUGCUAAAGAGUCCAUGGAUAAAGCUCAGAGAAAGGUUGGGCAAAAUCCUAUGUCUGAUGUUUUGAGUCGCCAAGCAGGUCUUGCCAUUGAGGCCUUUUGGACGGCUGUUAAAUUGGAGGAAGCCUUCAUGUGUUAGAAGUCCAAGAGGUUUGUGAGUUUCCUUAGAACUUGUGUUACCUCCUCGAUGUUCUCCAUUAUGAUUAAUGGCUCUUUCAAGGGUUUUUAAUGGGAAGAAAGGUUUGCGGUAGGAUGAUCCUUUAUCUCCUUUCCUUUUUAUCAUGGUGAUGGGGUCCUCUCUCGUAUGUUAAAUCGGCCUCCUCCGAGCUAUCAGUUUCACAGGCAUUGUGAGAAGGUUAGCUUAACUCAUCUGACCUUUGCUAAUGAUCUUAUGAUUUUUUGUGCUGCUGAUGAUUCCUCUUUGAGUUUUAUUAACGAGACUAUUCGAAAGUUUGGUGAUCUCUCGGGGCUAUUUACUAAUCUUAGUAAAAUUUCUAUGUUUGUUGUAGGGGUUAAUAGUGAUGAUGUUUAUCGUUUGACUACCAGUUUUGGGUUUUGUCCUCAGACAUCUCCCUGUUCGUUAUCUUAGGCUUCCUUUACUUUCUGGAAGGUUACGACCUACUGAUUGUGCUCUCUUAUUCAACGUAUUACUAGUCAGAUUCAUUCUUGGUUUGCUAGAGUUUUAUUCAUUUGCAAAGUAGAUUGCAACUAGUUCAAUAUGUGCUUGAUAAUCUUAAGGUUUACUAGGCUAACGUGUUUGUGCUGCCUGUGAGUGAUGCAUCAUGAGGUUGAUAAAAUCUUGAGGUCUUAUCUUUGGAGGGGUAAGGAGGAAGGUAGAGGAGGUGUUAAGGUGGCGUGGGCUGAGGUGUGUUCCUUUUGAGGAGGGUGGUCUUGCUAUUCUUGAUGGGUCUUCUUAGAAUGUUGUGAGUACUAUGAAGAAUCUUUGGUUGUUGCUGACUAGUUCGAGUUUUCUAUGGAGUUCCUUGGGUGGAGGCUUAUAUUCAUAAAGGAAGGUCAUUGUGGGAGGUCGAUUCUUGUGUUGGUCGGUCUUGUGUGUCUUUGCGUUAUCAUGUGGAAACGAGAUAGUCUAAAAGAGCAUGUUCAGAUGGAGGUUGGGGAUGGUAGGCAUUGUAAACUGUGCCUGGAUCCGUGGUUGCAGGGUGGUCCUAUCCUUCAACAAGUUGGUGAGAGAGCGCUUUAUAAUGUAACGAGUAGAUAGGAGGCUAGGCUCUCUAAGUUUAUUGGUUCGAAAGGGGAGUGGAGGUGGUCGAGGGUGUCUUUGGAUUUGAUUAAUUUAUGGGAUAGGGUUCAAGUUGUAAGUUCGUGUCCUAAUGUUGGUGAUAGGUGGGUUUGGGUUCUUAGUCGUCAUAGUGGUUUUUUGAUUGCUAGUGCAUGGGAUACUAUUCAUCCUCGUAGUGUUAAGGUUCGUUGGACAGGUUUCUGUGUGGGGUGGGAUUGGGAGUCUCGUUAUCAUUUGUUUUUUCAUGUCCUUUUGGGUGUGAUAUUUAGUCUCGGGUCCUUCAGGUUAUGGCUUCCUCUCACAGGAUUGGGUAUUGGAGGGUUGAGUUGUUUGGGGUUUGUCAUUAGAGUAUUGGUAAGGGUGUGAAAAGGAAGUUGUGGUAUGUUUCUCUGGUGUGCUACGAUUUAUUUUAUGUGAAAGGAGCAUAAUCAUUGUUUCCAUGGUGGUCACGCUCGUGAGCUCAUUGUUCUGUUUCAGCUUAUUCCAUCUUGUAUCAGUGCUCGUGUUGUUUAUUUGCGUGAGGAUGCUCAUGGUAUUAUUUAGCUUGUUUUCUUUUUAUUUUUGUUUUAUCUGCUUGUUCUCGGGCUGUGGGGUUGUUUGGACUUUUUAUGUUUUUGUUGCUCUUAAUUUUGUUGGUUUAUUAUUGUUCUUUCUUUUGAUACUUUGGAUUCUUCCUUUUUGUGAGCAUUGUCCGCUCUUGUGAGGUCAUCCUUGUUGUAUUAUGAUAUUAACUUUUUUUAAAAAAAAGAAAGAUAAUGCAAUUCAACUUUAGAUAAAAACAUGAUUCGAAUUUUCAUUUCAAGAAAAUACAAGGGGACAGAACUUUUCUUUCACUAUUUCAAUUACUAGAAUCUAAAUUUCAAUUCUCACUUUUUUGUAUUUUGAAUUUACAAGCCUUUUUUUCUUUCUUUGGUAUGAAAGGUGGCAACUAGGCCUUGCUAGAACGAGUGGGGUAACCUUUCUAUGGUUCUACACUUAGUUUCAAAGUUCGAAGUUUUCCUCCUACAGUGGAUCAUCGCUAUUGAUUUUUCUACUGUUAAUUCGACCUCCCACGAAUUCUCUUCUUCUAAGGAUUCACUUUUCUUUAAGGCUCUGCACUCUACUAAAAAGCCUUGAUCUUCUUCCCCCAAUGUUUUCAUAAACUUCUUAAGACAGACCCUGACUUUGGUUAGGCUCGGAUCUCCUUGGAUUAUCACCUUCUUCCCCUAAUAUAUCAAUGUUAACAUCAUAUUCUUCCAAUCCACUCCAGCCGUUCCCAAGGAAUACAAUUACUGCAUUCCAAGUAUGGCAACUAACCCUCCCAGCAUUAACUCAACAUCAUCACAAAUUACCUUCCCUUUGACUACAGUGCCCGAGCCCAAAAUGACUCCCAUAAUUCGACGUUUCUCUUGUACUCAGUUGCAACUCUUUCACUAUUUUUUUUUAAAUGAAAUUGCGUGUGACUCCACAAUCAAUUAGUACUAUAGCCACCUUCCCUUGUAUCAUCUCUUUUACCUUCAUUUUCCCUAGGUUGGAUAAUCCCACCACAUAAUUAAUGGAUAAUUCCACCAUCACUUGACUCUCCUCUACGAUCUCAGGGGCAUUCAAUUCUUUCUGAUCAAUUCCUCCUUCUUCAAUAAUUUCAUACUCCUCGCCUUCUUCCUUGACAACAAUCAUUCGCAAUUCCCUUUGCUCUUUCAUCUUGCAUUUUGUGGUCAUGAGAAUAUUUCUCAUUACAACGAAAGCACAAUCCCUUCUUUCUAGAUUGAAAUUCAGCAUCAAAUAAGCGCUUCGUCUGUCCCUUUUCCAUACUUCCUCUUUUGUUGUUCCUCGUAGAGUAAAAGUUCUCAUCGGCCAAUUCAUUCCUCCUUUACUUUCUUCUGUAUUCGCAAUGGUAUUAGCCUUGGUGCUAUUAUGGGAGUUUAUUGUUGGAAUUUUUUGUCCUAAAACUCGUAGUUUGUAAAUCAUAUUCUAUUCAAUAAAGUUGUUAUUGAGAAAUUAAAUAUUAUAAUCUUAAAUCCAAUAAAUCAAAGUUCCAAGGCUAUUUUUUGAAUAAACUUGAACUUUAUGUGUAAACAUAAACGUGGAUCAAGUUCGAGUAUAUAGCCUAAAUAGUCUAUAGUAUAUGAAAUAAAGGUUGGGCGCCUUAUUUUGAGAGACUAUGGAUGCGGCCCACUUUGUAGUACAAACGAUGUGAUCCUAAUCGUUCAUGUAGAGACAUGAAAGUGGGGGCAUCCUAUGUAAAAUGUUUACAUAAGACUGAACCAUGAAUUAGUCAUUUUUACGUUAUAACACCGUUUACUGUUUAAAACUGACUAUCUCAAUUAUUGAUGACCUAGGUAACUUAGUCUUAAUCCUGAGUUAACUAUGAACUCCUGUUCAUACGAGAUUAUCCUUAGAUCUGCAUAGGUGAGGGCAGCUCAUCAGCGUUGGCCCAAUAAGCCUCCCAUUUCAGGGGUAAGAUCGGGUGGAUAGCUGGGAACAUAGGGUACAAGAUGGAAUUCACUCCUACCCGCUUUAGGGUUAGUAGAUAGGUUGCUCUCUUAAGCACUGAAUCCAAGUCUUGAACAAGGGGCCCCACCCUCUCAUUGGCCCGAGAGGGAUUAAGUUUAUAGGUUGAACCUUAAACCAAUUGUUCAAUAGUGGAUUAGUGGGACUUAAGGAGCAAGAUGUAAUCUUGGGGGUAAAACGGUAUUUUGACCCAGCCAAGGUUACGAGCAACCUGUGAAGGAUUAACUUACUGAUUAUGGUUUUAUCAAAUGGACACAAAUAUAUCUAUAGUGAGGGGAGUGCAACUACGGGACUUUAGUGGAAUGACCCGUUAGUUAACGAAUGUUGAUUAACUCGGUUUAAAAGAGUUUAGCUAGUUAAUCUUGAAUCGUUGGAGCCCAUGAUCUAUAGGUCCAUUAGGUUCCUCUGCUAGCUCAUAUGGAUUAAACUUAGAACAGUGUGAUGAAAUAAGUCGAAUUGUUCGAAUAGGGAGAAGAAAGGAAAACCGACAUAUACAGUGAUAUAAUCGUCGGUCUUCUAAUUAGAAAUAGAGCUUUAUGUUUUACAUACUAUAAGUAUGAAUGCGGAUUCAUACUAAGAAGCUCGGAAUUGGUCAAAAAUAGUAAAAAGUCAAAAUGUUGACUUUUGACUUUGAAAAGUCAAACUUUGACCGGCCUUAUAUUCAAAUGUGAUUUGAAUUUUGGAAAAAUGAAUGCGGAUUCAUGCUCGGGAGGUUGGAAUUAGUCAAGACGGACAAAAUGGUAAAAAGUCAAAAUAUUGACUUUUGACUUAGAAAAGUCAAAGUUUGACUUUUGACUAGAAAAAUCUAAUGACCAUUUUACCCUUGGACUAAGUUAGUGGGAAAAUCCAACAUUUUGUUGGAUAAUCCCACUAACUCUUAGUGGGAUAUGUGGCUAUAUGAGAUAUAGACAGACCCUAGCUAAGUUCCACUAAUUGUUAGUGGAAUAUUAGGUGUUGAGAUUUGGCAAUUGAAUUGCAUGCAUUUUUGCAUGUAAUUAGGCUAUAAAUAGAGAUGUUUUCAAAUGUUGAAGGACUUUUGCCUCUUUUAUCAUUUUCAUAAUCUCAACAAAAGAAAAAAGAAAGCUUCCAAUCUCAUUUUAUCUCCAUUACUUUCUACACCAAAAUUGGGUCCCACAACCCGGUUCUUUGUCUAGAGGAUAGCAGUUGAGUACUAGUGGUGGUCUCGGGUAGAAUUGGUAAGAAGACAUCAAACCUUUUGAAAGCUUCAAAGGUAAUACUUCUUAAAACCCUAAUUUGAUUAGUUUAUGGUUACAUGUUAAUUGUGGCAAUUAGGGUAGAAAUUCGAUUCUUUUUCCGCUGUGCAUGACUUAGUUCUAUCAUGUGGUAUCAGAGCAUGCUUCAUUUUUACCCAAUUGCAUGUGGUGGGUUCAUAUUUAUUAGAUAAAUUUUGGUUUGAACUAAAAUGGAUAUAUUAUGAUUUUGGCUCUAGAUUAAGUGUUUUUGUUCUAAUUAUUGUAAUUAGCCUUGUUAAUGGCUUAUUUUUAUUGUUGCAAAGUGUUUGUAAUUUUUUAAAAAAUAAAAAAAGUCAUUAGAGUUGAAGCUAGGCUGUAAUUGGUUCAACCGGGUGAGAGAAUUGAAAAAAAUGAAGAAAAGAAGGUCACAGACCCGAAAACCCGGUUUUGACCCGCUUCGCGACCCGCACGCGCGCCCUGCGCCGCGCGCCCUCCUGCGCCGCCGCGCCCUCCUGCGCCCCCGCGCCCUCCUGCGCCCCCGCGCCCCCCUGCGCCCGCGCGCCUGCAUGCGCCCGCGCGCCCGCAUGUGUCCGCGCGCGCCGCAUGCGCCCGCGCGCCGCCUUCGCCCGCGCGCCUGCCUUCGCACGACCCGUGUGCGCCUGGGCCGGUUCAAGCCAAUAAAUUUGGUUUUUGGGCCGGUUCAAGCGGUUCGGUUGGUUUUUUAGCCGGUUCGAAAUUUUUGGGAGUGGUUCUGUACUACACCAAAUUAAUUAUGUAAUAAUUUAGCACUUAGCUUAAUUUAGGAGCCAAAAAUCAGUCCAUUUUAGGGUGUUUUUUUUAUUUAUGCAUGUGAUGUAUGAUUAAAUUACUUUAAAUUUGUAUGUGCAUUUUGAAUGUCAUAUAGAUUUAAAAUCCCACCAUAGGUUAACAUGUUCAUGCAUUAAAAUGUAUGAUAUAAAGGUUAUAUUGUAUUGUAUGCAUGUUAAUUGAUUAAUAUGGAAAUUAAUUAAUAUGAUUAAUUAAUUAUUUAAUUAAUUAAGUUAUUCUUGAUUAAAUAUGAUUUAAUCAAAUUAAUUAAUUAUUGUUUGAUUUAAUUUAAUUAAAUAUGAUUUAAUUAAAGUUAAAUAAAUUAAAAUCCAUAUUAAUUGAUUGUUUUUAUUAUAUAUUGAUAAAAUGAUUGAUUAAGUUUAAAAGUUUUUAUAAGUGUUAUAAAAUAAAUUAGACUUUUAAAAUCAAUAACAAAGAUUAAAUGCAUGCUCACUUAGGUUAAACAUAUCUUCCAUUUUUCAUAGAAAUAGGUCGAUAUCUUGUAAAACUGGUUACAAAAGGCUCACCUGGUUCAAUCUUGUCAACAAGUCAGAUAAGAUGACUAAGGUUGGAGGUUCUUAAGUUGACGGUUUACGGAACACCUCCUACCUGGAGAUCGUAAUCAGUUCUUGAGCCUAGUUAACCUAGUUUUAUGAGCAUUCGUGAGAGGUGUGAGGUAAUAAAAAUGGUUUUUCACCUAGACAUCAUAGGUUAAAAUCCUGUAUAAUGGUUAUACUUGGAUGUUUUAUCUAGACUUAAGAUUUGUUUAAGUUAGCCUAAAUAUAAAUCUUGAAGUUUGGAUUACCCUAUUUUUUUCUUUUAGAACACUUCAACUAGAGAAAAAUAAUGUAUUUUAGCUCUAGUGUCCCUAAGAGUUCACACCGUGAGGUCCAUGCAGGGCUUUGUGCCGUGCAUAGGAGCGGCCUCCCUUCGGAGAGUGUUUGCAUGGAUCAAAAUCAAGGUGAAUAGGGGAAGUAGUUCAUAGUAAGUGGGUGAGGGAUUUGUGGCAGCACAUCCCACGGUCUCUUCCAUUAGGUCGCACCGUGAGAUUUCUAUAAUAUGCCUGCUUGUCUGCCCUGGAGCGACGUUCCCUUCGGAGGGUUGUAUUAUAGGAUUCGGAAACACCGCGAACUCCAAAACUGGAUAGGAUUUCUUAGAUUAGUUUUCAUAAAUGAUUCUAAUCUAUAAAAUCUGAAAAUGGUGGGUAACACUUACAAGAAUUACUAAGUUGUUAGUAUAUUCUUGACUAAAGUAGCGAUAACUAAGUGCUAUAAAGAAUAAAGAGUUAUUCUUGAGAUAGCAUCUAGUCAAGAUUGUCUUGGUUCAAAGGAGGAAUAAUCAACUACCCUUCGGAGAAGGUUGUUCUAAACCUUUGAAAUAUUGUUGCAAAAUACAAAUAAUGAAAGGGUACAUUAUUAGUAAUUGCUAAAUUAGAUUGGAUAUUUUUUAUGAUUAUAGUUUUUUCUUAAAAAGAAUAUGUUUGUUUUUCAGCAUGAAUAGCUCAAUAGUUCAACUUUUAGCUUCCGAAAAACUUAAUGGCGAUAAUUAUGCGGCUUGGAAAUCAAAUCUUAACACAAUACUAGUGGUUGACGAUUUAAGAUUUGUCUUAACUGAGGAAUGUCCUCAAAACCCUGCCUCUAAUGCUAACCGAACUAGUCGGGAUGCAUAUGAUCGAUGGAUAAAAGCUAAUGAAAAAGCCCGUGUUUACAUUCUUGCCAGCAUGUCUGAUGUAUUGGCAAAGAAACAUGAAUCCUUAGCCACGGCUAAAGAGAUUAUGGAUUCAUUAAGGGGAAUGUUUGGGCAACCAGAAUGGUCCUUAAGACACGAGGCAGUCAAAUACAUUUACACUAAGCGUAUGAAGGAAGGGACCUCUGUUAGAGAACAUGUUCUGGACAUGAUGAUGCACUUCAACAUCGCUGAAGUGAAUGGUGGUCCCAUCGAAGAGGUUAAUCAAGUUAGUUUUAUCUUAGAGUCUCUUCCGAAGAGCUUCAUUCCAUUCCAAACGAAUGCGUCUUUGAACAAGAUAGAAUUUAACUUGACAACCCUUCUGAAUGAACUCCAGCGAUUCCAAAACCUAACUAUGGGUAAAGGAAAACAAGUGGAAGCAAAUGUUGCUACCACAAAAAGAAAAUUUAUAAGAGGAUCGUCCUCUAAAACCAAAGCUGGACCCUCAAAACCUAAUGCUCAAAUAAAAAAGAAGGGAAAGGGAAAGACUCCCAAACAGAACAAGGGUAAGAAAGCUGCAGAAAAAGGUAAGUGUUACCAUUGUGGCCAAAACGGGCACUGGUUAAGAAACUGCCCAAAAUACCUUGCAGAAAAAAAGGCAGAGAAGGAAACACAAGGUAAAUAUGAUUUACUAGUUGUAGAAACAUGUUUAGUGGAAUAUGAAAAUUCUACCUGGAUACUAGAUUCAGGAGCCACUAACCAUAUUUGCUUCUCAUUUCAGGAAAAUAGUUCUUGGAAAAAGCUUUCAGAAGGUGAGAUCACUCUCAAGGUUGGAACAGGAGAGAUGGUCUCAGCUUCAGCAGUGGGAGUUUUAAAGUUGUUUUUUAGAGAUAGAUAUGUCAUACUUAAGAAUGUCUUAUAUGUACCUCAAAUGAAAAGAAAUUUAAUAUCUAUCUCUUGUAUUUUGGAACAAAUGUAUAGAAUAUCUUUUGAAAUUAAUGAAGCGUUCGUUUUCUAUAAAGGUAUUCUAGUUUGUUCUGCUAUACUUGAAGACAACUUAUAUAAGUUAAGACCAACUAGAGCAAAUUUUGUCUUAAAUACUGAAAUAUUCAGAACAGCUGAAAACUCAGAAUAAAAGACAAAAAGUUUCUUCUAAUGCCUAUUUAUGGCACUUAAGACUUGGUCACAUAAAUCUCAAUAGGAUUGGGAGAUUGGUUAAAAGUGGGCUUCUAAGUCCGUUAGAAGAUAACUCUUUACCUCCUUGUGAAUCUUGUCUUGAAGGAAAAAUGACCAAGAGAUCUUUUACUGGAAAAGGUCUAAGAGCCAAAGGACCCUUAGAGCUCGUACAUUCGGACCUUUGUGGACCAAUGAAUGUCAAAACUCGAGGUGGAUAUGAAUAUUUCAUUAGCUUCAUUGAUGAUUAUUCAAGGUAUGGUCAUAUUUACCUAAUACAUCAUAAGUCUAAUAGUCUUGAAAAGUUCAAAGAAUAUAAGGCUGAAGUAGAAAACGAAUUAGGUAAAACAAUAAAAAUACUUCGAUCAGAUCGAGGUGGAGAGUAUAUGGACUUACGAUUCCGAGACUAUUUAAUAGAAAAUGGAAUCCAGUCACAACUCUCUGCACCUAGUACACCUCAACAGAACGGUGUAUCAGAAAGAAGAAACUGGACCUUGUUAGACAUGGUUCGCUCUAUGAUGAGUUUUUCUCAGAUGUCAGAUUCUUUUUGGGGAUAUGCUUUAGAAACAGCUGCUUAUAUUUUGAAUAAUGUUCCCUCUAAAAGUGUUUCAGAAACACCUUAUGAGCUAUGGAAAGGGCGUAAAGGCAGUUUACGUCAUUUUAAAAUUUGGGGUUGUCCAGCACAUGUGUUGGUACAAAAUCCAAAGAAAUUGGAACAUCGUUCAAAAUUAUGCUUUUUUAUAGGUUAUCCAAAAGAAUCAAGAGGUGGUUUGUUUUAUGAUCCUCAAGAAAAUAAAAUACCACAUCAGGGAUCAUCAACCUCGUAGUAAACUAGUAUUUAAAGAAAUUUCCAAAAGUGCUAUAGAUAAAACCUAGUUCAUCCACUAAAGUAGUUGAUAAGACUAGGAAAUCUGGUCAAUCACAUCCUUCUCAACAGUUGAGAGAGCCUCGACGUAGUGGGAGGGUUGUUCAUCAGCCUGAUCGCUAUUUGGGUUUAAUUGAAACUCAAGUCGUCAUACCUGACGAUGGCAUAGAGGAUCCAUUAACCUAUAAACAGGCAAUGAAAGAUGUAGAUCGUGACCAAUGGAUCAAAGCCAUGGACCUCGAAAUGGAGUCUAUGUACUUUAAUUCUUUCUAGACUCUAGUAGAUCAACCAAAUGACGUAAAACCUAUUGGUUGUAAAUGGAUCUACAAGAGAAAACGAGACCAUGCCGGUAAAGUACAGACUUUUAAGGCUCGACUUGUGGCAAAGGGUUAUACCUAGAGAGAGGGAGUAGACUAGAGGAAACUUUCUCUCCCGUUGCCAUGUUAAAGUCAAUUAGAAUACUCUUAUCCAUCGCCACUUUUUAUGAUUAUGAAAUUUGGCAGAUGGAUGUCAAGACAGCUUUUUUGAACGGUAAUCUUGAAGAGAGCAUCUAUAUGUCUCAACCAGAGGGGUUUAUAAAACAAGAUCAAGAACAAAAGGUUUGUAAGCUUAAAAAAUCCAUUUAUGGAUUAAAACAAGCUUCUAGAUCCUGGAAUAUAAGAUUUGAUAUUGCGAUCAAAAUCUUAUGGCUUUGAACAAAAUGUUGACGAGCCUUGUGUUUACAAAAGGUCGUCAAUUCCAUUAUAGCAUUUUUUAGUCUUAUAUGUAGAUGAUAUUCUACUUAUUGGAAAUGACUAGGAUAUCUUCCUGAUAUCAAGAAAUGGCUAGCUAUGCAAUUUCAAAUGAAAGAUCUGGGAGAUGCACAAUACGUUCUCGGAAUCCAAAUUGUUCGAAACCGUAAGAACAAAACACUAGCCAUGUCUCAAGCAUCUUACAUAGACAAAAUGUUGUCUAGAUAUAAAAUGCAGAAUUCCAAAAAGGGUCUGCUGCCGUACAGAUAUGGAAUUCAUUUGUCAAAGGAACAAUGUCCUAAGACACCUCAAGAAGUUGAGGAUAUGAGAAAUAUUCCCUAUGCUUCCGCUGUUGGAAGUUUAAUGUAUGCAAUGUUAUGUACUAGACCUGACAUUUGCUACUCAGUAGGGAUGGUCAGUAGGUAUCAAUCCAAUCAUGGACGUGAUCACUGGACAGCCGUUAAAAACAUUCUACAUGCUCAUGUAUCGUACAAAGGAUGAUCCUUACUGGAUACACUGAUUCGGAUUUCCAAACUAAUAAAGAUGUUAGAAAGUCUACAUCAGAAUCAGUAUUUACUCUAAAUGGAGGAGCAGUAGUUUGGAGAAGCAUAAAGCAAACUUGUAUAGCUGAUUCCACAAUGGAAGCUGAUCAUUUUACAAAAGCCCUCACGGCUAAAGUGUUUGAGGGUCACCUACACAGUUUAGGUGUACGAUGUUUGUAAACUAGGACAAGUGGGAGACUUAUUGGCCAUGUGCCCUAGUUUCAUAUAUAUUUCUCUCACACCACAUCUCUCAUACCACUAGGAAUUUUAGUCCAAGUGGGAGUUUGUUGGAAUUUUUUGUCCUAAAACUCGUAGUUUGUAAAUCAUAUUCUAUUCAAUAAAGUUGUUAUUGAGAAAUUAAAUAUUAUAAUCUUAAAUCCAAUAAAUCAAAGUUCCAAGGCUAUUUUUUGAAUAAACUUGAACUUUAUGUGUAAACAUAAACGUGGAUCAAGUUCGAGUAUAUAGCCUAAAUAGUCUAUAGUAUAUGAAAUAAAGGUUGGGCGCCUUAUUUUGAGAGACUAUGGAUGCGGCCCACUUUGUAGUACAAACGAUGUGAUCCUAAUCGUUCAUGUAGAGACAUGAAAGUGGGGGCAUCCUAUGUAAAAUGUUUACAUAAGACUGAACCAUGAAUUAGUCAUUUUUACGUUAUAACACCGUUUACUGUUUAAAACUGACUAUCUCAAUUAUUGAUGACCUAGGUAACUUAGUCUUAAUCCUGAGUUAACUAUGAACUCCUGUUCAUACGAGAUUAUCCUUAGAUCUGCAUAGGUGAGGGCAGCUCAUCAGCGUUGGCCCAAUAAGCCUCCCAUUUCAGGGGUAAGAUCGGGUGGAUAGCUGGGAACAUAGGGUACAAGAUGGAAUUCACUCCUACCCGCUUUAGGGUUAGUAGAUAGGUUGCUCUCUUAAGCACUGAAUCCAAGUCUUGAACAAGGGGCCCCACCCUCUCAUUGGCCCGAGAGGGAUUAAGUUUAUAGGUUGAACCUUAAACCAAUUGUUCAAUAGUGGAUUAGUGGGACUUAAGGAGCAAGAUGUAAUCUUGGGGGUAAAACGGUAUUUUGACCCAGCCAAGGUUACGAGCAACCUGUGAAGGAUUAACUUACUGAUUAUGGUUUUAUCAAAUGGACACAAAUAUAUCUAUAGUGAGGGGAGUGCAACUACGGGACUUUAGUGGAAUGACCCGUUAGUUAACGAAUGUUGAUUAACUCGGUUUAAAAGAGUUUAGCUAGUUAAUCUUGAAUCGUUGGAGCCCAUGAUCUAUAGGUCCAUUAGGUUCCUCUGCUAGCUCAUAUGGAUUAAACUUAGAACAGUGUGAUGAAAUAAGUCGAAUUGUUCGAAUAGGGAGAAGAAAGGAAAACCGACAUAUACAGUGAUAUAAUCGUCGGUCUUCUAAUUAGAAAUAGAGCUUUAUGUUUUACAUACUAUAAGUAUGAAUGCGGAUUCAUACUAAGAAGCUCGGAAUUGGUCAAAAAUAGUAAAAAGUCAAAAUGUUGACUUUUGACUUUGAAAAGUCAAACUUUGACCGGCCUUAUAUUCAAAUGUGAUUUGAAUUUUGGAAAAAUGAAUGCGGAUUCAUGCUCGGGAGGUUGGAAUUAGUCAAGACGGACAAAAUGGUAAAAAGUCAAAAUAUUGACUUUUGACUUAGAAAAGUCAAAGUUUGACUUUUGACUAGAAAAAUCUAAUGACCAUUUUACCCUUGGACUAAGUUAGUGGGAAAAUCCAACAUUUUGUUGGAUAAUCCCACUAACUCUUAGUGGGAUAUGUGGCUAUAUGAGAUAUAGACACCUAGCCCACUAAGUUCCACUAAUUGUUAGUGGAAUAUUAGGUGUUGAGAUUUGGCAAUUGAAUUGCAUGCAUUUUUGCAUGUAAUUAGGCUAUAAAUAGAGAUGUUUUCAAAUGUUGAAGGACUUUUGCCUCUUUUAUCAUUUUCAUAAUCUCAACAAAAGAAAAAAGAAAGCUUCCAAUCUCAUUUUAUCUCCAUUACUUUCUACACCAAAAUUGGGUCCCACAACCCGGUUCUUUGUCUAGAGGAUAGCAGUUGAGUACUAGUGGUGGUCUCGGGUAGAAUUGGUAAGAAGACAUCAAACCUUUUGAAAGCUUCAAAGGUAAUACUUCUUAAAACCCUAAUUUGAUUAGUUUAUGGUUAGAUGUUAAUUAUGGCAAUUAGGGUAGAAAUUCGAUUCUUUUUCCGCUGUGCAUGACUUAGUUCUAUCAUUUAUCACCUUUUCUCCAGAAUAUCCAGAAAGAUUUGCUUCCUGACGUAUAUCUUCCUUGUUCUCUACCUUUUGCAAGAUUCGUAUCAUUUGUGUUAAUCCCUUCGACUCACAUAAAUCCAUCUUCGCGUAGAUCCAUAGUUUCAAUCCCGACAUAAAUGUCUCUUUUACCACCUUCUCUAAUAGGUCCGACAAAGGAGCUACCCACUUAUCGAAUAAAUUUUUAUAUUCCUCUAUCGUUGUCUUUUGUUGAAUUUGCAAGAACCUUACAUACAGCGAUUCCUCCCUAACGGAUCGAAAUCGCACCAAUAAUCUUUCCUUCAUAUUCACCCAAUCUACAAAGUUCUCUCGUUCUUCUUGAGAACGGUAAAAGUUCAAUGCUAGUCCCUUAAAACUAAUAGUGGAUACAGUCAUUUUCUCAAAUUCAGUAAGUUUAUGAAUGUGCAAAUACCUCUCUACGCGAAACAGCCAAGAAUCAGGAUCAUCUCCAUUGAAUAUCGACAUCUCCACCUUCUUAAACUUAUUGCAGUCACUAUUACUUUCAUCAUCUAUUUUCUUUCCUUCCUUCCUUGUUUCGUUAUCCCAUCUUGGUCACCCUUCGCCUUCGUCCACAUUCUUCGUCGAUGAAUUGUGCAUUGUUGUCGAUUCCAUAAUUCGUAACAUCAUCUGAUUCUACCUCUCCAUAUUUUUGGAUAGUUUGGCCAACGUCUUUUCGAUCACCAGUAUCUUACUAAUCUCUUUCUUAAUGUUCUGUAUUUCCUGGUCAAACGUCUCCAUCUCUUCGAUCCGAGUCUGAACCAUUUGCAUUCUUCUUGCCCAAGAUCAAUGCUCUAAUACCAAUUUGAUGGAAACCAGUCUUGGAAUAAAAUUGCUACUAUAUUAUUAAUGAUAGAAUAGGAAUGAAAUCCUAAUUACAAUAUGAAAUCCCUCUCCUGUUAUCCUCUCUCUCAAGGAAGAAUAGAAAUUCACUUUCUCAAACAAAACCUAACUUUCUCGCCCACGAUUACUUUUUAUUUAUACUAACAAUAAGGUAACUAACCCUUCCCUUUACUAACCCUCACAUGCUAUUCAUGUGCACGUGAUAUUUUUUUUUUAAUUUCUUUAUCCCUCUUCUGCUGUACAGAUGUAAUAUAGGGGGUCUAUCAGAUUCCUCCUCUUUUCAAAGCCUCCAAUCAAACUCAAUGCUAAGUUUGACUGCUCCCUUCAGAGUGACGACCCUCAUUUUCCCCCUUCCGUGGUUUGGGGAUGAUUCCUCCUCUUUUUAAAGCCCUCAAUCAAACUUGAUGCUAUGUUUAGAACGCUAAGAAUAGGUGGUUUAGUUUUGGUUAGGCCAAAAGUGAAAUUUUCCCCCACAAGCACUACUAGUUAGGGAACUCAACACAUUCUACUUGACUUAAUCGACUUGACUCUCUAAUUUUUAUGAGCUUUUUUCAAUGCAUAUUGCAUAUGUUUUUUUUAUAGUUGUUGAUUGUCUCACAUUUUUAUGGUUUGCAUUCACAAGCCCCUUUUUUCUUUCUUUGGUAUGAAAUAUGGUAAUAGGCCUUGCUAGAACCGAUGGGGUAAUCUCUCUAUGGUUCUACACUUAGUUUCAAAGUUUGAUUACUCCCUUCAAAGUGACAACAAGCCUCGUUUUCCCCUAUUGUGGAUCAGAGAGGAUUCCUCAUCUUUUCAAAGCCCACAAUCAAACUCAAUUAGAGUAAAAAGGAAAAAUUUUCAUCUCGGGCGCGUGUACCUCACACGCAUCUCUCUAGGAUUUCCAAGUUCUCUCACUCGGCUGGUGAAGGAGGCGAACGGUUGGUGAGUGCUGCGGCCAGCAAGGGAUCAAAUUCGAAGGUAAUUCGUUCAAUUUUGGCAGAUUGAAUGUGAAAACUAAUGUCAUUUGGUAUCCAUUUCGAAAUUGAUUACAAUUGAUCAAUUGAACCAUUACGAAUGAUAUUCGUUUUGAUUCGGGAGAAUUAACGUUUGUCCCGAAAUUGUUUAAAUCGGUUUCCAAGCUGAAUUGAUUUGAACUAUCUUGAAAGUAUUGCGUGUGGUACAAAAUCAAUUUAUUGGCUAUCAGUUCUGGGUUUGGAGACUGUGAUUUAAUUCACUCGCUGGAGGGAUCUCGCAUUAAUCUCCUCGGUUGAAUUUCAAUUCUUUUUUAGUUCAUUCAUGUUCCCAAAUUGGGCCGAAAAGAUCAUCACGGGUGUUGGGUUGAUGUCUUAAGCAUGAAACAAUGAAGAAAUUAUCCAGUGACAUUGAGGAGGUGAAGAAACGCGUGAUGUCAAGCCUUCAACGCGUACAUGAUAUGACGGCGAACGACCGAAGGGCGGCGACUGCAAAGGCUGACCUAAUUUCUGUGAGGAAGAAAUGGUCGGACAUGAGUGGACCCAAACCGGUUUACGUGAACCGUGAAACAUAUAGAAAUCGAAAUACAGGAAAUGGACCGAGCGGAGAUGGUCCCAUUAAGAUUGUUGGCCCAAAGGCGUGUGGACCGAUUGUUUCGAAUGAAAACUUGAUGAAGCCUAGUGAGCCGAUAAAGGGGUGAAGCCGAAUGGCGUGUUCACAUUUACGAAUGGAAUUGGUCAUGGAUCUCUGGUUGAUGGGCCAUCGUUGAAUGAUGGGCCGUCCAUCUCACACGAAAUUGGGAUCUCACAGAAGGAGUGCUUACCUGCUGGUGCUUCAUGUGUUCAGCAUGUUGGGCAAAUUGCAGCGACCGAAGGAUAUGGACCUCGACUGGAUGCUAUUGCAAGUGCCCCAAAGAUUGGGCCGGGUGAUGGGCAUUUGAAUGAUAGGCCAGCCAUUAGAGAACCGUUUGGUACUAAUUCCAAUGGUAGGCCGCCUGUUUCGAUUCGUGGGCAUGAGGUGCAGAAAUCUAAUAAUUCUAGAGGUGCAGGCAACAAGAGGUUUCUCUAUGACCUAUACACCUCUGACUACCGUGGGAGAGAAAAUUGUGGUGACCCCGUUUGAAGAAGUUAUUAGUUAAGGAGUUAGAGUGUGGGAGAACUCCCUCGUCAGCCAAUUAAUUGAUGCAAAAUUGCUGUAUCUAGUCAUCUAUCGUCUUAUAGAGAAGAUUUGGGGUAGAAUUGAAAUGCCAACAAUUACUCUGAUGGAGAAUGGGCUCAUCUGCUUUCAAUUCAAACAUUUAAAGUCAAUACAGUGGAUCUUAUCCCGUGGCCCAUGGCACCUUGGAGGCAAACCUAUGCUCCUCCGCAAAUGGACUCCAGGUAUAGUUCCUGAAUCCUUCGUCUUUGAUUUAGUUCCUGUUUGGAUAAAGUUAGGGAGGAUUCCGUUGGACCUAUAGAUGGAUGCUGGUUUGGCUGUGGUAGCGAGUGCAAUAGGAAAACCUCUUUUAGUUGAUCUUGCUACUAAAGAGAGGCGUCGUCUUUCUUAUGGCCGUAUAUGUGUGGAAUUGAAUGUGGACAAUAUUAUGCCUGCCGAAGUAACAGUCAUCCUUAGAGGAGAGGAAUUUAUUGUAACUGCCACUUAUGAGUGGAAAUCGAAAAAAUGUAACUUGUGUAGAUCUUUUGGACACUUGCAGAACACCUGCCCUAAGAAAAGAGGCAAUGAAUAUAGUAAAAAGGAAGCUGCAAGUAAAGAGGUUCCUGUUAAAGAGGUUGUUCCUACUAAAGAGGUGGUUCCAGAUUGUGGGGAGUAUGGAGAUGUUGUGUUGGAAUCCUUCCAACACAUGGAAGAAGGAGAAAUUAUUACCCAUAAACUUCCUGAAAAGGUGGAGGUGAAUCAGGAGGAAUUUACCCUAGUUGACAGGAAAAAUAGGGGAAUGAUCUCAAUUCGGGACAGAGGGAUAAGGGCAGAAGUGAGUAUCACUAACUCCUUUAAGAACCUCAUGGAGGUGGAUAAAGGAGAUAAAUGGCUUUUAUCUAUAGUGGAUGGCUCCCCUCCUCCCUUACGAGUAGAUGACUCUUCUAUGGUCCUUUUGAGUACUACAGGUGAUGUAAUUCCUAUGGGAGAGGCGGCUUCCAUAUGACCUCAUGGUUAGUUGGUGUACGUGGAACGUGCGGGGCCUUAAGAGCCCUGUAAAGUGUAGAGCGGUGAAGGACCGGGUAUGGUCUUGGGUGAUUUUAACACCAUCAGACUCCACUCUGAAGCCUUUGGGGGUGCUCCGAACGUGGUGGAUAUGGAGGAGUUUGAACGUGGUGGAUAUGGAGGAGUUUGAAUAGUCUCCCACGAUAUGGAGGAGUUUGGUUCCAUGGAUUCAGGGUGGGCCGAUUAUCCAGCAGUUUGGGGAGAGGGUGAUCUAUGAUGCGGGUAGUCGGUGGGAUGCGAGGCUGGUGGAUUUCAUGGGUCGGGAUGGUGAUUGGAGGUGGCCACUUGUUUAUUUGGAUUUGAUGGACAUUUGGGAUAGGGUUCAGGGAGUGAGGCUGAGUCCGAGUGUUGAGGAUAGGUGGGUUUGGGUGCCGGGGAGUCAUGAUAGUUUUUCGAUCACCAGUGCGUGGGAGACUAUUCGUCCUCAUAGUAGUAGAGUUGGCUGGUCGGGUUUACUAUGGGGUGGGGGAAAUAUUCCUAAGCACUCCUUUUGUGCUUGGUUGGCCAUCAGGGAUAGGUUGGGUACUAGAGGUAGGUUAAGUCGGUGGGAUAGGUCGAUUCCUUUAUCGUGUUUGCUUUGUGGAGGGAACUAUGAGUCUCGUGAUCAUUUGUUUUUUUCUUGUCAUUUUGGGUGGGAGAUUUGGUCGAGGAUCCUUUUGCUUAAGUCAUCUUCUCAUAGAACCGGUUAUUGGGGGGUUGAGUUAUCUUGGAUUUAUAAUCAGGGUAUUGGGAAGAGUGUGAGGAGAAAACUGUGGCGCCUUCUCUGGUGUGCUACAAUUUAUUUCAUUUGGCAGGAGCGAAAUCAUCGUCUUCAUGGAGGUUCUAUUCGGGAGCCUCUGGUUGUAUUCCAGCUCAUUCGGUCGUGUAUUAAAGUGCGUGCUGCUUCUUGGUCGGAUGGUGUUCAUGGUCUUAUUUAAUGUUCUUUUCGUUUGCUUGUCCCCGGGCUGUGGGGUUUCUCUUCUCUUUAUUAACUUUGUUGUCUUUCUCUCUUCUUCUUGUCCUUUUAAUGUUUGGAGCACUAGUUGGUUUCUUUUGGUUUUAGUUAUUGUUCCCGAGAUGUGGGGUUGUUUUGGGUACUUAUGGGUUGUUUUGUCUAACUACUUGUUCUGUGAGUGUUGUUCGCUCUUUUGUCUUGACCUCAGGCUGUGGGGUCCACAUUGUUGUUGUAUAAUAUUAUCAUUACCUUUUCAAAAAAAAAAAAAAUCAAACUCAAUGCUAAGUUUGACUGCUCCCUUCGAAGUGACAACAAGCCUCGUUUUCGCCCUACUGUGGAUCGAGGAGGAUUCCUCCUCUUUUCAAAGCCCUCAAUCAAACUUGACGUUAUGUUUAAAACACUAAAAAUAGAUGGUCUAGUUUUGGUUAGGCCAAAAGCGAUGUUUUCCCCCAAAAGCUCUAAUUGCUAGGGAACUCAACAUGUUCUACUUGACCUAACCGACUUGACUCUGCAUUUGUUAUGAGCUUUUUUUAAUGCAUAUUGCAUAUGUUUUUUUUAUAACUGUUGAUUGUCUCACUUUUGUAUGGUAUGCAUUUACGAGCCUCUUUUCUUUCUUUGUUAUGAACUGCGGUAACUAGGCAUUGCUAGAACCGAUGGGGUAACAUUUCUAUGGUUCUACACUUAGUUUCUAAGUGUGAUUGCUUACCUCUAAUUUUCAAAACACUUCAUUUCUAAGCACAUACAAUACUCACCUAGAAAAAAAUGAAAAUUGUUGUAGUUAAGAUCAAAACUAAAUAAUUAUGAAAUAAGACAUAAGAGAUUUGAUUUUAACAACCUUCCCGUUGUACUUGGGAUCCACUCUGGCUUUGUGCUGGAAAAUUGGUUUGGAGCUGAUCGUAAGCUUUCGGUUGCUCUUCUAUAACCUUUAGAUACUCUUCAAAGCUAUAAGCUUUGCUUCCUGACGAAGAAUCUUCUACUAUUACAAUACAUAAGAAAAUUAUAUUUCAUAAACCCUGUAUCAUAUUUUAUAGAAUGAUUAUUCUAUAACCCUACCGAUAGUUUCAUUCUUAACAUUCAUAGACACGAUGCAUUGCAGCUAUCCAAUUCUAUUUCAUGUUCUCGAGAAUGGCUCGGUUUAACAAUAAUGUUAAUUUUUGUUUUCUAUUUUAAAAUAAUAACGCUGCUUACUAAUCUUUUUUUUUUUUCAUUUGGCAUUCUACUUUUUCUACUUAGCUUUCUUUCCUUAGUGAUAACAAAUAACACGGGUGAUAAAAAACUUAAUCACUCACUUGUUUCAGCCACCGAAAGCCCUUCUCUUCAUUGAAUUUUCAAUUUCAUCGAGACUAAUUUCUCACUCAAACAUUGUCUUGCAUUCUCUAGAAACGUCCUACAAACAAAAAUGAAGAACAAAAAACUACAAUAAGGUCUAUGAAAAAGUUACAAAGGAAAAUCUCAAAAACUGAUAUGUAAGUCAUAACAACCUUAAGUCCUCUUAUCGUGGGUUAAAAUGCAUGUAAGGUUUUUCCAAGAGUCCGAGCAACUAGCAUGUAAAUAAGUUAAGUCAACUAAAUUUGCUAUAAAUUUACUCGUAUUAACAUUAUCAUUGUUAUAGACUUGACAACUUCAAAUUUAUCAAUAUAAAAUAUGCUUUAACAAAACGUACCUUGAGGUUCCUCCAACCUCAUUAAAAAAGCAAAUAAUCCAAAAAUUUAACAAAUUUAUAGUGCAUAUUAUGUAUAUCAAUUGAUCACAACAAAAUAAGAUCGAACAAAUACCCAUGAGUAAUAUUUAGCCACCAAAUGAAUAACGAUGAAAACCUGAAAACAAAACCGAGAAAAAAAAGGAAACAAUUCAUCAACAAAACAAAUUUAGCGGACUAUAAAAUUUCUUACCUUAUUACACACUUCAAAAUAUUAAGAAAAGUGGAGGGAAAAAACCAACCAAUAAUCAACAAAUAAACUUCAACACAAAUAGCCAUAAAUUUUCUUCUUUAAAGGUAUCACAAAUAAGUCCAUCAGUAAUAACAAAAUAAAAAAGGGCAAUGUGCAAUUGAAUUCUGAAGUCGUAAAGCUAUGCUAAAGGCAAUAUGAAAUCAAACUUGAGCACUAACAAGAAAAUUUGCAAAACAAAAAUUACUAGACAUCAUUAACUAAAGUACCAACACAACAAUGAAUGUGUAACCUCCGCAAGAGCAAACCCGAAUGGAGAAGAACAUGAAGAAAUAUAUAAAUAGAAGAAACAUAAAAGACAAACAUGAAACACAUGGAAAUAUACAAAGGGGAUAAAUAAAAGUACAAUUAUAAAGUGAUGAAGCACAAAUAUAGGUAUCAACAGAACCAGAAUACAAGUCUUACCCUAUCUCGACUGUCGAGGAGUGUUAACCAACCGUCAGAAGGUUGGUUUUAUUUUUUAAAAAAAAAUUAAUGUUGUCUGAAUUUUUUUCCAAAGCCACUAACCAGCCCCUCCUUAUCUAUGAUCGGCGAUCAACUCCUCAACAUCUAAUUACAUUUAAAAGAGUGAUGCAAACAUUGUGUGAAAUCCCAAACCUUUGAUGGAUCCCACCAUCACUCUCUUUCUAUCCCCUUCAAAACCUCAUUAUUUUCAAGAGAGGCCUCAAAGCUUCUUCCAAUUAACAUAAAAGAAGAAUGAAAGAGAAGAGAGAAAGGGAAAGUGGUUCAAAAGCUAUGGAAAAAAAAGUAAAAGAAAAUGGUCUACUCAUUAGCACAUCCUACACAGAUGAUAAUGUUAGGGCUAGGCAAUGAGAGACAGAAUGCUUUUGGAGCCUUCUCCUCUACUUUCGAAGAUUUUAACAAACUAAAAUAUGCAAAUGUUACAAGAAAGAUCUUUGGAGAUUUGAAAUAAUCCAAAAUAAAGAAAAAGGAAAACCCCAAUAUAUACAAAUUUCAGAAUCUAAAACUUGAAAAGUGAUCGAAUGAUGAGAUAUGUUUGUACAAUCAAUUAUAGAGACAGUGAAAUAUUAAAACAAAAAUGAAACGUAUCAAGAUAAAAAGAAUAGCAACUAGUAUUAUGACCUUUGUAUGUCUUCAAAAUACAAACAUCAAAAUGAAUCAAGAGAUCUACCACACACAAAUAAUGGUAUCAACACAAAUAAAGCAAUUGUUUUAGUAACAAUAUUUGAGUACAAUUAAACUAAGCAUGCUAUUGUCCUUGACAAAUUUACAUUCUUCUAAUCGAACAAAAUCUGACCUUUAAAUAGUGAUAGAAAUUGAAGAUGAAAGCAAGUUUAGCUACAACUUCAGACCAUGAUAUAUAUGACGAAACCUAUAAAAAAAAGAAGAGUACCUAACUAUAUUUACACAGAGGAGAUCUGAUGCUUACUAGCAUAUCAGAGGCUCAAUCGAUUUAAAUUUAAUUGAAAAACAAUCCCUAUAUUUUAAUGCAUACACAUUGAAUAGCCCCUGUUUCAAUCCAAUUUACAAAACUACCUCCAUAAAAUUACAUAAUGGGGGAAGUUCGACCGGAUGCACUGUGCUUUACCAGAACCACAUGAAAUUAUUGGAACAUAGUUCAUUCAAUUAACUUUCUUCAUUCUAAUUCAAAAUUGAAACAAAUGGAAAGAGGACAAUUGAAUAUUAAAUAAAGAUGGAAUUAAUUGGGAACUCACGGAGUAAUGCGAUUUGUUCGGGGGCUCACCACUGGAGUUGGAAGAGAGACAAGGAUUAGAAAGGAAAGGAAGAGGAGCGUCUGAUAAUCCAGCGGAUUCUUUGAUGAGUGGAGUACUAGUAGUAGUAGUGGAGGUUCCAAGGACAUUGAAGUCAAUCCGGUGAGAGUGAGGGAAUCAAGAAGGUUGAGGUUGAAGAGAGUAGAAAUUGCAACCAAUAUCGGUGACGAUGGUGGAAUCGAAAUUGCGAGGGAAGAAGAAAAGAGCAUCACAGGUCGAAGUAGAGGAGGAAUCAACACUGGAGAAAGGAGAAAGAUGAGGAGAACCUGCCAUUAAUGGAAGAGGGAGGAAGUGAGAGAGAAAGGAGGGAAUUAAUUAAUUAAAGAGAAUUAGGGUUUGAGAAGAGAAAGGGAAAAUGGAGUGUACGAACAAAGAAGAAGAAGAAGAAAUGGAAAGGACGCGCUAGAGAGAAGAAGAUGGAGAUGGAUCGGUGAAUAUCGGUAUGAUAGGGUUUCUUCCUUAAAGAAACGGAAAUUGAGAGAUAGGCCUUAGGGUAUUGAGAAGAGAAAGGAAAAAUGGAGUGUACGAAGAAAUGGAAAGGACGCACUAAGAGAAGAAGAUGGAGAUUGGAUCCGCGACUAAGAGAAGAAGAUUCAGAUGGAUCCGCGAAAUGGGUAUGAUAGGGUUUCUUCCUUACAGAAAGGGAAAUUGAGAGAUAGGCCAAAGAAGACAAGAGAGCAAAAGAGAAGGGGGGAGGAGAGGGAGGAGAGGGAGACUUGGCCGUUAGAGAAGAGGAGAAAGAAAUUUUAAAUGAGAGAGACUGUACAUGUAGGGUUUUUAUUAGAUUUUUUUUUUUUUUUUUGAAAUCUUGCUUAAUUGGAUUGAGAGAAUUUUGGUAUUCGCUUCAUCGACUUGUAUUAGCUGUCCAUUGGUCCAUUGUUUUGUCAUUUUUUUCAACAAACUAAAUGUUUUAAGCCAUUUACAAAUUAGAUUUCGAUAAAUCGAUAAUCAUAUUCUUUUACAAUAUAGGACUAAAAAAGAUAACUAUAUAUAUAUAUAUAUAAUCAUACAACAGUAUUUAGUUAAAUUACAAAAAAAAAUUCUUUUGAAUUUUUGUAGUUUGUGUUGAAAAAAAUAACCUUAAACUUUGAAAUGUUAAAAAAAAUUGUUUUGAACUUUUAAAAAUUAUUCAUAAAUACAUCUACAUACGUAGGAUGAAGGUAUUGGCAUGCUUCUCUAAAAAAACUUUCCAAAAAGAUGUUGUGUGACUUUUGAAAAGAAAAAUUACAAAUGGGGUCUUUUUUAAACAAAUUAGAUAUAUCGAGUUAUAUUUCUUUAAUUUUUUUCCUUUUUUCACAUAUUAUCAAUCACAUCUUACUUUUUUCUUUUUUCUUUGGAACCCUGCAAAAAUAACAAAAACAUUUAUAAUCACAUGACUCAUGUCACUACAUUUUCUAAAUUUUAAAAGUAGUAAAUUUAAAAGUUGAUAACCCUAUGAUUAUCGUUUGAUAGUCAUCUAAUAUCACUAAUUUUGUCAUAUUCGUAAUAUCCAAAUAAGGUUUCUUGGUGAGUCUAGAGUCAAACGUGAGGACUUAUACUAAAAAUAUAUUUAUAUUUUGAAAUUAUCUUAAGGUGAUUAAUAAUAUACACCUAAGAACAAUAGCGGUAUCAUCCACUUGUAAGGGGGGAGGGGAGUCAUCCACUAUAGAUAAGGUCCACUUGUCUCCCUCACCCAACUUCAUAAGGCUGCCAAAAGAGUUAGGCAUAAUCACAUCCACACGUUUACCCUUCUCUCGAACAUAAACCAACUCUCUUUUCUUCCUAAUAACGAGUAAUUUCAUCUCGAUUACCUACCUCCUUUUCCUUAAUAUGCCUAAUGGUGGAGCUAUUAGUCUUACUUUCCUCCAACUAUUUAAAGUCUAACACCACAUCAACAAGACACAAUUGUCCGUUCCUCCUCUUUGUUUGAAACCACCUUGCUCACAUCCUCCUCUCGAUGAACUUUGUUUUCCACAAUCUUAGGACACUUACCACUAGAAUGCCCAAAAGACCGGCACAAAUUACACCUUCGAGGCUUCCACUCAUAAUUCACAGCCAUAACGAAAUCCUCUCCCCUAAGGUGAAUUGUAAAUUCAGCAGGCAUAGGAGAGUCCACAUUUGAUUCAACACAUACUCAAGCAUGUGACAACCUUCGUCUUUCCUUAGUAGCUAGAUCAAAAGAUAGAGGUUUGCCUAUAACACUAGCCACAACAGUCAAUCUGACAUCUGUCCAUAACUCCAUUGGAAUCCUACCUAGUUUAAUCCAUAUAGGAACAUAAUAAAAAACAAAGGAUUUAGGGACAAUACCUGGAGUCCAUUUACGGAGGAGCAUACUUUUGCCAGCAAGAUGUCGCGAUCAACGAGAUAGGAUCCAUUCAACAAGUUUUGGGCAUCUGAAUUGGAAACAGAUGAGUCCGUUCUCAAGAAUUGUAAUCGUUGGCAUUUUAAUUUUAUCAACAAUAACAACGAGCUAAACAAAAUCCUCUAUCCAGGACGCACUAAUGAAAACUAAAAUGUAAAAUAAGUACGAAGUAAUUAAUUAAAACAAAAUACAAAAGAAACCCACAGUAAGUUGACAAAAUGCCCACAAUAAGCUUCAAGAUGAGUGAGAGGGAACACCAAGAGAAACAUGAAUAGCCUUGCUAACUUUUCACUACUAGCCAACUACAUAUUUUUUUACAAUACGUGUUAGGGAAAUCUUUCCCUUUGCAAAACAGACCAAUAUAUAAUCAAUCAUUGGCUCCUUAUGGGAAAAUACAGAAGCCCUAUACAUGUAUGUUUCAAGCCUGUGUUGAACAACUUUUAAUUCCCUAAGAUAAGGAGAUUUAUCUGAAGGUUCGAGAAUAAUGACAUGUCCUAAACUAACCCACCAUUUCGCAACAGUGAACCAGUUUGAUCGUUAGGGGACAACUUUUGAUAAUAAGUGCACAACCAUGCCCCAAUUCCAAUGUUGCCCAAAAGUAAAGGCCUUUCUUCACAAGGCUCCAUAAAAAAAAGUUCAACUUUCACAUAAAGAUCUUAUUUCUUUUUUAUUGCUCCAAGAGAUCUAAUAGAUCUAUUUUCACCACACAAAUCCCUUUUGUUAUCAUGGGAAAUGUGUUGGUUGUGCUCAAACCAAAUCUCUGCUAGCAACACUUUUAUCAAAUUAACCCAUAUUGUUUUUCUUAAAAAAAAAAAGGAUAUGAGUCUCACUAUUAUUAAUAUUGAAAAAUGAAGAGACAAAGUUCAAUGUCAUGAGGAUUAUACAAAGAGCAAUAGGAUGGAGGAUCAACAGACGCACCUGGACAUCUCAACUAGGUUGACACCCCCUUAGCGCCCUCAUCACAUCCAAAAAGCGACAACACAAGAUCAAAACCAAAAGCCACAAAUAGAAGGCUUUUUUUGUGUUUGUUUUGCCUUUGGACAUUACUCCUUUGUUAUCGGUUUUAGCUUGGUUGGAUAUGAUGAGGGUGCUAUGGGGGUGUCAACCUAGUUGAGAUGCCAAGGUGCACCCCCUGAUCCAUGGUUACAUGUUCCUUGUAUAACUCUCUUGUACUAUGAGCUUUUGUCUAAUUAUUAUUAUUAUUUUAAUAUUAAUAAAGAGGUUGUCUCCUUUUCAAAAAAAAAAAAAAAAAACAAAACAAAACAAAACAAAACAAAAGCCACAAAUAUAAAACCAAACAAAAUGAUAAAAUAAUAUGUCCAAAACAAAAUCAUAAAUCAUAGGUAGCAGGUCGAGAACAAAGAAGAAUAAGCCUUGAUUGAGCAAAAAAUCCCAACAAAUAUUGAAUGUUUGGAGAAGACGGAACCAACAUUUCGAUACAAAGACAUAGUCAAUUAAAAGGUGCUAAAUAUUUUUCAUGUUAUCAACACAAAUGGGGCAGACAUGAGGUGAGAGGACAUGGGAGGGAAGUUUUCUUUGAAGUACUAAAGCACAGUUUAAUUUUCCAAACAACGUAAUCCAUAUGGGGAUAUUUAUCCAAAGAGUGAGCUAAAUAGCCCAAUGAGUGAUUGUUUUAUAAAACAUCGUUUUGAAAUAACAAGUAUUUAACAAUUAACUCUUAACAUAAAUGAAAUCAAACUCAAACAACACUCAAAAGCAACCUAGAAUCGUCGAGACAAAAAACAAUAAACUAGGCAUAGAAGCCCUAUCCCGUGAUACGAUACUUACGAGAUGAAACUCUAGGCAUCAAUUGUGCCCUAUCUCGUUAUAACUACAAUGAGAUGGAAAACUAGGCAUUCGUACAGGCUCUCGUCCCUUGAGAUGGGAAACUAAGCAUCUUUAGAAGUCUUCAUCUCUUAUCUAAUACCAAUGAUGGAAAGCUAGGUAUUUACUGAAUAUCCAAAUCAAAUGACCUCUAUGCACAAGAAAAUCUCUCCCGAAGGGUUGCUAUAUAUCUUAGAAUAUUUUAGGUAUAGACUAAAACAUGCUAAUAUUAUUUUCAAGCUUAAACAUUUUGAAAACUUAGCACAAUCAUGAUUGCUUAUAAUUUUAAUUAGUAAAUUCAUCAAUAAAAACAUGUUUACCAAAAUGUUUCUAAAUUCAUGCUUUGGAAAUACAUUAUAAAUCAGUAUCCUCAAAUAUUCAAACAUCAAAGCAUGCUUGAAACAUUUGAUAGUAAAUUCAUGUUUAGAAAUCAACUUUAAACUCAUUUUUGUCACUUAUCGAGAGUAGCUUGGACCCUUGGCUUAUAAACUUGUUCUAUCUCCUUCAGAUCUAAAAUAUCAAAACUUUGCUUAAAAUUUCCAAAAACCACAAAAACAGCCCAAAGACAUUAGCUUGCGUACAAAAUAUUGUGGCAGAAGUUGGCAGGCGCGCGUAGGGCUUGCCUUGCCAUGUCUCAUUCUAACCUCAAGUGCAGCGUGUCACAAUCACAACUUUUCAAACACGGAACAGAGAAUUGUGCGGCACUUGUUGUAACUCGAUGAACACGUCAGUUGUAUAAAAUUCGAUAUGAUGUAGCCUCCCUACAGGUUUUAAGAGAAAUUGGUUUUAUUAAACAUGAGAGAGAAAGGAAAGCAUUGGAAACAUCGUUAAAAAAAACUUUGAAGAUUGUCCAUUGCAAAGAGAGCUUAAAUUGCAAAGAGUACCUCUGUGAUGAGAUUGGUUUGUGGAACCAAUUGGGAUGGGAAAAAGUUUAGAGAUAUUUGAGAGAAACUCUUUUCUUUUUGCAAAGAGCAAUAGCGUUAGCCUUAUUUUUUUCUUUUUUUAUUAAUUCAUUUUUUUAAGAAAAUUGUUUUCUUCUAGAUAUUAUAACUCUCUUUCCUUCUAGGAAUAGAAAAUGAAGUAGAAGAGAACCAUGAGAUUCUAUUAAUUUACAAAUAAUUAAAUUAAUAUAUAUAUUUCAAAUCUACUGAUUAAUUAAACAUUAAUCAAUUAGUUAAUAAUUAAUGAAAUCGAAUUUAAUUAAAUAAUAUUAAACUAAACUAUUAAUUAAUUCUCCAAUUAACUAACAACACUAAAUUAUUUAUCUUAUAUUUAACUUAAGUUAAAUUUGAAUCAUAUUCAAAUAUAAGUUUCUCUCAAUAAUUUUAAUAUGAAUCCAAUUCACAUUAAAUUAAUAUUUGAACUCAUUCAAAUAUUUUAUCUCUCAUAAAUUAAUUUUGAAUCAUCCCCAAAGUUAAAUUUAUAUAGUAAAGUUUGAUAAACUUUAUAUUAUAAUGUAUCACUAUACAUUAUACUAAUUCCCAAGUUAAAUUUAAACAUUUUAAAUUACAACCAAUAUAAAUAAAUCUCAUUACCCUUUACGAGCUAGGAAAGGGACCUAAUGGAUCUACAGAUCAAAAGCUACAACAAUCUAAGAUUAAUUGGCUAAACUCAUUAACCACAUUAAUCAAUAUUCGUUAGCUGUGUGUACACUCCAUUAAAGACUCACAACUGAACUCUUCUCACUAAAAAUAUAUGUCUGUGUCCACGGAUAUAGACCAAUAAUAGUAAGUUAGUCCUUCACGAGUGUUUGUAACACCAGUUGGAUCAAUUUACCGCUUUACCCCUAUGUUACCUCUAAUCCUUAAAAACCAGUGCUCCUCUAAUGAACAAUUUUUUUAUGGUCCUACUAAUAAACAAAAACCCCUCUCAUGUCAUAGAGAGGGUACGAACCCUUUGUCCAAGUUUUGAAGCCACCAUUUAAGCUAACAUUCAUCUACUUACCCUAAAGUAGGAAAUGAGUGAAUUCUAUUUUGUUUAAUUAUAAUCCCAACUCCCCACUCAGUCUUGUCCCCAAAAUCACUACUACAAAAAUAGGCUCUCUUGACGGUUGUAGUUUUCCUUUCUUGACGUUUUUUAAAUAAAAAAACGUCAAUAAUUUUUAUGAAAGGCCAAUUUUCAACUUUCUUGACGUUUAUUAAACACAUUCUCUGUUUGAAAAUGAGUAAACACGUUCACCGUCCUUCUGUCGCAUUCCACUUUCGCUAAACCUCUAUUCGUUUCCAAAUCCUUCAUGGUUACUCAUUCAUUUUCUUCCCUUUCUAAAGGUAAUAAUUUUCCUUUUUUCCUUUGUGAUUAAAAUUUGUAAUUUGUUAUUUAAAAUUGGAAUGCAAAAUUAAAGAAGAGGAAAUGUGCCUUAGAGAAUGGAAGAAAGGUUUUGCAUUUUAGGCUUGAAAAGGGGGGAUACAAGUUAUUAUAAUUGUAAUAUAUAAUAUUUUGAACAAGGCUACCAAGCGUGCAAAUAUGAUUCAUUGGUUAGUUUAGGGAUUGGAAAGAGAAGGAUUGUGGAGUUUGUGAUAAUAUUUUGGUACACUGGAGCUGGAAACAGAGAAUAUUAAAAAACACAUACUGUUAUACACAAUAUUAUAAUAAUACGAAUCACUAGCUUUUCUUCUUCGUUUUCUUUUUCUUCUCCUUGAAUUUUUGUUAUGGGUAUUGUAUUCCGUUUUGUGUUUUAGAUUGUGAAGUAUGGGGUAGCUAAACUCUUAAUCCUAGGGAUAGAUGUAGACAAAGUUUAUGAAUUAUUCUUUGUAAUGCAUCUGAUUAUUUGCUCUUCAUCUUUUCAUGUUUUUAUGUGAAUAACGUUCAUAAUAUCUUAAUCACAGAUUAAUUGUUGAUUGGCCAUGAACCUUAAUCUUUGCAUGACUAGAGUGGUUAUGAACUUGGAAAGAGAUAAUUAAGGAUCCUUGAGGAGGUUGUUGAAAGAAGUGGACCUAAAAACUUUUGUUUGUUAAUAAAAAGAAAAAUGAACAGAGAUUCAUCUUCGUCAGGGGUCUUGAUGUUUAAUUUAAUUUAAAUUGUGUAUGAAUUUUUAAUUACGAGCAUUUUAAUAUGUUGCGUUUUAAUCCUAGGGAUAGAUGUAGACAAAGAGCACUAUAGCCAAGGUAUAGAGUGAGGGAGAUAAGGUUUAUAUGUCUUAGAGAAUGGAAAGAUGGAAUUUGUGCUAAAAUCAUUAGUGUUCCAAAUACAAUUAUGAAUUGGGUAUAGUUGCAUUCCCCCUUCUAGAUUGCAUAGCACAUAAAUAUACUCUCAUGGAUUGCAUAGCACAUAAAUAUACUGUCAAAAACAAUAACAUAAAACACAAACUUGAUUUAGUUUCAUUCACACUUGUACACCAACAUGUUUCAAGUAAUGAUCAUAUAUUAAAAAUCAUUUUCAAAUUUGGUAAUAUAAAAUGGAAGAAGUGAGACCUUGAGGUUUUGACCACCAAUACUAUCUAACUGAUGAGUUUAUGAUUUUUGUUUCUAUUGUGUUCUUUCCUUAAGCUUUAACUUGUUUUAGGGGCAAGAUGGUGAAGGUCUAGUCCACAACCUUUCCCAAGAAUUUAAUGAUGUUUGGGUUGACCCAAUUAUUGUUAUUGGACACCGUUUUAUGGUAAUUGGUUGUUAUGGUUUUUAAGUGUGUUUUGAUAUCUUGUGUUAAAAAAUAAUUGCAAAAAGUCGGAAAAGUUUGUUAAAGAUUAGGUGUUUUUAAGUUUGUCAUUCCACUUUAAUUCUCACCAGUACUUGCUGAAUGGAAGCCUCUUGUCUAAGACAAUUCGAGUGGAAUAACUCUCGUGACUACCACAACAUUUGGGAACUCACCAAAUGUAAGACUAUUCCUUUAUCCUAGCAUUUGAUCUCUCUCUAUAAUUUGGUUUGCUAUCGUAAGUUUCAUUAAAAUAAAUGCUGAUAAUUCAACUCCAAUGUUCUUAUUUUCUUAACUCCCAUUCAGUCAGUUAGAAUCAGAACUCAUUUAUUUAUCUUGUCUCCAUAAUUUGGAUUCAAAGAUUCAUCACAAUAAUCUUCUCAACAACAUUCUUGAAAAGGUAUUGAAUUUUCAACUGUGUGACCUUUAUACACAAAUUUCUUCAAAGAAAUUUACAUUCUUUAGAGUUUAGAGCUUUGAAUUCUAGUACAACUUAUGAAGCUUUUGAUACUUGUUAGACUUUUUUGCUUGGUGCGGAUAAAACCUUAUUUACAUUCUUUCUUUCCUGCAUGUUCUCUUUUGAUAUUUGUUAGACUUUUUUGCUUGGUUGUCCUUAGUGUUUUCCUCUUUAGCUGAAAUUUCUCUAUCUUGAAAAAAAUAGAGCUUUAAAAUUCAACUUCAACUUUAUUUGAUACUAUCUUAGUCCAUACUUAUUUUGGUAUUUCUUUCCUUUCUCACAAACACAUCUAAGAGGUUGCCUUCACAAUAUGGCCAAAUUAACAAUAUGGCAACCUUUUUCAUUGCAAAACAUAUUAGAGGUUGGUUACUUAGUUAGCCUUAUUGGGUAAAUAAUUGACAUUUAGGUACUUUUUAGUUUGUAUAUUUAUAGAUGCCAAAUCGAUAUGUGAAUUUUAAUUGUUGCUUAUUUGAAACAUUGCAACCAUUUGAUAAAAUGUUGCUAUGUGAAUCCAUCUUAACUUGAUAUAUUAUUUUAUUUUGGUUUAGGUUGUGGAAUCCAAGUUUGUAUUUGAAGUCAAAUUCAUCCAAGAUCAUUGAGUUUCAAAGCUUCUUUAAUUAAGAUUUUGUUUCUUGAACUAGCAUUGUAGUCUUGUGAUUUUUGGAAUAGCAUAGUUGGAUUGGUUUUGUAAUUUUGGUUUUGUAGAUUCAUCCAAGAUCACUGAAGUAGUGUUUUGUAUAUGACAAUAUCAAACAAACAUGUAAAGUUUUCGAAAUGUUCAUACAUAUAUGAUUAAAUGUUAAUAUAUGUUAAAGUUUUGGAAUUGUACUCGUGCAUAUUUAUGAGAUUGUAUGGCCACACUACAGGAAUUAUAGAGACAAUACAGGAACAAAAAUAUAAAUAAAUUAUAAUUUAGAAAAAAAAUGAAACAAGCUUGACGUUUUUUAAAUGUCAUAAACAAAUACAUUCUUGACGGUUUUUCAAUGUCAUUAACAAGUAAAUUCUUGAUGUUUUUUAAACGUCAUAAACAAUUGUGUUCUUGACCGUUUUUAAAUGUCAUAAAUUACAUUCUUGAUAGUUUUUAAAUGUCAUGAAUACUCAUUCACUUGACGAUUUUUAACUGUCAUGAAUAUUUGUAUACUUGACGUUUAUAAAACUAUUAAGAAUCGCUAUUCUUGACGUUUUAUUAACCGUCAAGAACUUUGACUUUCUUGACGCUGGCUUCAACGACGAUUUUAAAACCGUCAAGAAUAGUGAUUCUUGACAGUUUAAAAACGUCAAGAGAAUCUGUUUUUGUAGUAGUGAAUGAUAAGCUUAUUGAGUCGGCGAUCUAGCCACUCUCACUCGUACAAAUCAAAGGACAAUCUCUCGUGAACAAGAGUUCAUAAUACACUCAAGAUUAAGACUAAGUUAUCUAGGUCAUCCUAGUGAAAUAAAAACCUAACUAGUUAAUGUAGUAACACCAAGUGGUUACUAUUUCACGAUCUGGUCUAUUGCAAUCUCAUUGCAUAGGAUACCUUCACUCGCAUGUCAACUACAUGAACACAUUGGAUCAUUGUAUUUGUAUCAAAUACAAAGUGAGUCGUAUUCAUAAUGUUACCAUGAUAAAGGUACCCAGUCUUAUCCCUAUACUAUAGACCCUUUAAGCUGAUCUCGAACAUUGAUCCCUGUAUGUCUCUACAUACUAUUCAAUACUUAUUAAACAGUUUAGGAUGUUAGUUUAUUGGAUUUGAGUUACAAAACUAAUAAUAUAAUCAAUAACAAAUAUUACAAUAAUAACACUUUAUUAACAAUGGUCAAUGGAUUAUAUUUACAAUCUACGAGUUUUAGGACAUAAAUUCCAACAAACUCCCACUUGGACUAAAACUCUAGUCUCUUUGGGAUGUUCAUAAUAAAGUAAUCAUCUAACAUUAAAAAUGGUAAAAUGUACAAGUGUAUUACAUAAAAUGUGUAUAUACAAAUACAAUAAACUAGGGCAUCCUCAUACCCAUUACACAUCUGCCACUUUUCCUAGAUUACCAAAUGUACAUAACUCGCAGAUUUAGACUUUCUAGAAGACCCUCGAACACUUUAGCCAUGAGAGUCUUUGUAAAUGGAUUAGUAAUAUGCCCCACUAUUAUCACAAUAUAAAGUGAUGGGGCAUGUUCAUGUUUGGAACAACUUCCAAAUUAUGCAAGAACUUCCUUAGCAAAACUGCUUCUUUUGCUGCUUCACAAGUAGCAAUAUACUCAACUUUCAUAAUAGAGUGUGUAAUGAUGCGUGGCUCAGGCUGCUUGAUCAUGCCAGGACAUGCUUCUUGCAUGUCCCAAGCCUAAAUAACCUCUUUCGCUCAAACACACGCUCAUCUCACCUUGUCAUUCUGGCAAUCAACCCACCCUUGGCCUUGCCUAGAAAUAUGAUUUUUCUACCAGAAACUUAACUCGACUUUGAAGCUUAAAUCAAUAAGAUUCCUUCUACAAACUUACUUAGAAUGUCUUCACUAGCUUACCACAAAGUGUCACUACCAAAUUCCAAGUAUUGAGUUAUGUAGCUCCAAAAUACUCUAUAUUGUUCAAGUUUUUUUUUUUUUUUUUUCUGAAAAUGACCUUUGAGUCUUUCUUCACUUCAAUGCCUUUCUUCCUGGUAGCCUUUCUCCUGAUACUACACUCAAUUUAGGAGAUUUUUGAAGUAGAGUUACCCAAUUAACACAAGUUGAUUGUUAACAUAAUUCAUCCAAAGUUGUACAUAUAGUGAUCCUUGCAUGCUCUUUGGUUGACACUUUUAUUCUCACCUCUUACGCCUAUACUUGCCACUUUCCACCUCAUGCAAGACACUUAUUUGGCAAAACUUAGGUAUCUUGUAUGUUGUCCACUUGUACUCUACCGCACAUCUUACCUCAUAUUGCUUAAGUCAUCCUUGGAUGCAUAUCCCUUUUUCUAUGAGGGUUCUUUAGUAAAUUCUUACUGCCAAGAUUGCCUAAGACUUUUUUUUCUCGCCUAAUCUCCCAAACAUCCCUCAAUGCCUUCAACAAACCAUGCCAUUCUGACUAGCAUUUGGUUGAAUUGCCCCAUUGGCUGCAUGGCCUAUGUCCACAUAGCCCACCUCUUUGUUGCAUGACAUUCCUUAUCCACGUUUUAACUUCUUUAGAGUUUCUUGACAUUUCUUAGAUGCUUAGCUUCCUUGCCUAGCACAUACCCUUGGUCAUAUAGCCUUGUCUUAUAGAGGUUGUCUUGACACCUUUCGGCCAUACCACAUCUCAACCUUUGGCCACCCAACAUGUCUCUUUAGAGGUUCGCUUGACACUUUUGGCCGCCUAGAGUAUGCAACAUGCCCUAGCCAACACUUAGCCAUAUUUCAAACACCCUUUAGGCCUUUCUUUGUUACGAUGACACUUUUCUUUUGUCAUCUUAAAAAUAUUAACACAUCUUCCAUAACACUUCAACUAAACUAUUUAAUCUUAAACCAUCUUUCUCCUAACAUCAACCCCUAAUGUCCUAUUGAGUUCUUUAGAUGAAUUAAGGAUUAUUGAGUAUCGGGGUUUACACGCGAGAUGUAAGUCUUCCUCCUUGGAAUUACGUAUAGUAGUGUGCGGAGGGAGAGGAAUGUGAUGCAGGUCUUCCUCCUCAACCCUAAGGAAUUUUUCUUCGCUAACAAUGCCCUUUUGAUUGGGUAAGGGCUUGUUCGGUCAGGUCGUGAGGUGAAGGAUGUUGUUAUAAUGAUGGGGGAUUUGGUGGUGAGUGGAUAAUAGACAUGCGAGAGGACUUGAGUAAGAUUGAUGAGGGGGAGGUUCAAUUUUUGGAUGAGGACUGGAAUUGAAGGAUUUGGAUUUUGGAGGAGGCGAUGAGAGAGUUAAGGGUCGGAUUGCAAGAGCUUUAGGGUCGAUGACCAAGAUGUUUAUUAAUAACAUGUGUUUGAUACAUAAUUACAACACUUUGACCAAACAACCAAUGCUUAACUAUUUUCAAAACGUCUGGUCAUCUCGCUGCAAAUCCUUCAACCUUCUUCUCUACUUGGCCUAAACACCUCAUCUUGGAAGAUGAAUUUUUGAAAGAAUGUCUAAAAGACUAAGGUUUUAUGAAAUCCUUUUCGCAAUACCUUUUCAUAAACAUCAUUUCACAUAAACAACAUCAAAUAAUUUUAUCUCGCAUAAACCUUUCUUUAUCCUUAACAUACUCAUAACAUAACAAUUUCACAUAAACACACAUUAGUUAACAUUCAUUCCUUUCACCAAAGAUUUUGAAUUGUUCUCUACACUUUGAUGUAGAACAUCUCCCUUCUUGAUGUUUCUUGAGUUUUAUCCUAGAGGAGGGUUUGAAUUACCAUUUUUGUAGUUUAGGAUUAGUUAUUUGAAUUACCAAUUUUGUAUCUUGAGUUAGUUAUAACUAACUCAACUCCAAGUUAAACUAACUCAACCCCAAGUUAGUUUAACAACUCUUGUAAUCUCCAGCCUAUAAAAAAGCUUCUCAUUUUCAUUAAUAAGACAUAAAAAAAAGAGGCAUUAUACAUAAAGAUUUCUAGCUUUGCAAUUACUGCAUCAAUUGGUAUCAGAGCAUGAUCCUAGCUCACUCUUCCCUAAAAAAACUUGGAUCCUACCACUCUUAUCCAUGGACGCGGAAGCCUCCUUCAACCAACGCUUGCAGUUGGUAGAACAAGCUAUUGAAGAACUUCGAAAAGGGCAGUCGGAUAUACAAUAAUCGUUAGUAGAAUUAACAAACCUUUUUACCCGAUUUCAUGUCCAACCUUUAGAAGAAGCAAUUUAGCCCCCAAGAAACCCAAUUGCAGGAAACCAAGAAAGACAAGAAAGACCAAUAAACUCUGUUGUAAACCAAGAACUACUAAGAAAUCAACCUAUUCACAUCCACAAUAAUCGAUUGUAUGGAAACAACGUACCUGGAAAUUUCUUAAGCGAUUCUGACUCUUCCGAUGAAGACAACUUGCUGAACAUUCAUCAAGAACCUCAACAAAGGCUUGGACUUCGACCAUACUUUCAAGAAGAUCAAGAAAUACGUAUGAAAGUGGAUCUCCCUACCUUCAAUGGUCGAAUUGACGUGGAGAAGUUUCUUGAUUGGAUCAAGAACGUAGAAAAUUUUUUCGACUAUGCCAAUACACCCAAACACAAGAAGGUUCGAUUAGUUGCUCUCAAACUUUAAGGUGGCGCAAGCGCUUGGUGGGAUCAAUUACAAAACAAUAGACGAUUAUUCGGUAAACAAUCUAAAGAUUAGCUGAAUAUCUUAUAAAAAGAUGUUGCCGUAGGCUUAGUGGUGACAGGUGAGAAAGUAAGCUGUGUCUUUUAUGACUCUUAAACGUUGAAGUCAAUCAAUGAGUUCCAAAUGCAAUAUUGGAAGUUUUCUUAAAUAUUUUGAUGCUUUUGCAUGUUAUGAAAGAACUUGGUUAGAUGUGAGAAAGGGGUUUAUGAGAUUAGUUACUUACUAUUCCCUUUUUCACUGUCAUUGCUACUCAGUAGACAUGCUAUGGGCUCGUGUUUCUGUAGAAUAUAAUUCAGAUGCUCUUUCUCUAGAUUAUAAUUUAUAUGUUCUCUCUACAAAUUUGAAGUAAUUUCUACUGCUUUUGCUAAUAUUCUCUAUAGCUUAUUCAAAAUGUAGUUGUUUAAUAACUGUUCAGAUUUAAAAUAUAUUAUAGAGUUAAAUUUAACACAGUUAAUCAGCUUAAGCAUUUGACUCUGGUGUUCUUAAGAUAUAAAUUCAAAUCCCUAUAAUUUUAUCAUGUGGAUCUUUUCAAUCUUCUCACAUACUGUCUUCAUUUCAUAAUCUUGCCUACUAGCUGCGUAUCAUCAAUGAAAUUACCAUAGGAGUCCACAUGUGGUAAUUAUGGAUCUAGCACGAUAUACUGCGUAUCAUGUUGUUGGAGACCAUUUUAAAUGAUUAACCAGUCUAUUGGUGGUUUGAGUCUUUCCUUUUGAAUCUAUAGGUUGUUCAAUGGUCUAAUAUUAACUGUGUUUAGAUUUAUGGUAAUUUUCAUUCUUUUACAGCCUUAAUAACCAAGAAAAGGUGUGCUUUUAUAAUCUUUUCUUUCUCUUCGGCAGGUUGGUAAUGUAGAAAGGAUACAUGUAUACUAUGCCCAUGGACUAGAUAGCCAAACCUUUGUUCGCCGAUGUUAUUGGCUCCUAGAUAAGUAUGUUAUGGUUGAAAGAAAAUUGUUAAAUUUCUUGCUACCAGUUGUUUCAGUGGGGUCUAUCCCCAUCAUGCCACAAGCAAAGAAAAAUGAAAUUAAACAGUGGAAGUAUAUCGUGUUCUACUUAUAUAAUUUAUGACUUGCUUCUGCUUUUUGUUCAGGACCUUUGAACACAUUGUCCUUGUUUAUUACCGUGAAACACAAGAGGUUAGGUUCAGCACAAUGCAUCUGCAGUUACUAAAAUAUUAUCUUGAGACAAACUUUUAUCAUUGGACUACUACAUCUAUUUAAGAUUUGCUAAUUUUUCCUCCAUGGUUGCAAUAUUAGAACUUCAUCCAAAAUAAUGUUGUCAUGUGUGUCUUUAAAUUUUUACUGGCAGUCUGGCACCAUAUAGAUCUAGUAGUUGUGCAUGCAUGUCUUCCUCUCUAUCCUCCAUUGAAAAACUCGAUAAUUAUCUGUUUGUGUUUUAUUUUGAUGAUUUAAUCCAACAUUUAUUAUGGAUAAAGUCAGCCAUAAAAUACAUAUGUUUACUACUGCUCUUUGUACAUUUUAAAUACUAGAUUUCUUGAUGAUUGUUGUCUUUAAGUUGCUCUUAAUGUUGUUGCAUAUCGAGAAAUGCACUGUAAUUUCUGUACCAAUUUUAUCACUGCUUUUAACUAAAUCUUCAAAAAUCAAGGCACCACCUGGAUGUAGAGUGCUAUAUGGUGAUUCAAGUGUUGAGAGUUCUCUUUCUUCUGCUAUCCAUAAAUUUAUGGAAUGGAAAGGCAAUGAUCAUGACACUAUUUUUUGUCAGAUAAACACAGGUUUCAUAUGCUUCAACUCUGUGGUGCUUCACAGCACACGGAUAAAACUUCCAAACAUUCUGCACCCAAUAUUACCAUAAUGCAUUUGGACAUUUCAUUAACAACUUCUUACAAUUAGCCUUUCUAUAUUGAAAAUAAUUCGUUGUCUUAACUUCCUGUUGCUCCUAGUUUCAGAAUUUUCCAUCCACAUCGUUGAACUCAAAUUCUGGUUCUGUCUCUAACCCAUCAACUCCGUGGCUUUUAUCGGAGGAACUUGAUUCCAAGGCUACUCAUGUUUAUUCUCUUGGUGAAAAUGAAUUGUCAGGUGAUACUGGCCGAACCUGUCAAAAAUAAAUGAGUCAUAGUUUGUUUGAUCAUUCAUUUUCUAAUCUUUCUUCUUUAUAUUUAAUUAGUUGUUUAAUUUCUUAAAAAAGAAUUCUGGUUUAUUUAUAGUAUAUUUGGUAGUAUGCAUGCCUCAGCUCCUUUAAUGCAUGUCUCUUACAGUAUAUUUGGUAGUCUUUUAUAAUGUUACACCCUUUUUUUUAAUUCCUAAAACCUUUUAACUUUCCAAAUUUUCAUUCAUUCUUUUAGAAAAUUAUUUUCAUUAUUUUUUUAUGGUUACAAAACCAUCCAUUAACUACAUUAAUUAGACAAUUCACUCCAAUAAUAAAUAAAUAACUUUUUUGGAUCUAAGGUCUUUUCUCAUUCUACAAAUUUAAUUUACUAUAUAAAGGUUAUUAUGCUAAUUGAAAAAUAUAUUUCUCUCAAGUAUGCAAUGACAGAAAAUUAGGUUAUAACUAUAUAAAAAAUAUAUUUUUAGGUAUUAUAAUUUUUUUAAAAAAAUUAUAUUUUAAAUUUUUAAUAAAACCUUGCAUUUGGGGAUUCACAUGUUUGUUACUUGUCGAACCAAAAAAGAUAAAUUCGUGGUGAAAACUCUUUAAAAGCCCAAUUCGUGGAAGGAAAAAUUGAACUGUGGCGUUGAGUUAUUUUGUUGUUGAAGAAGAUCGGUAAAAAACCCACAGCAUUAAAACUUCUUUUUGUUUCUUUAAGUAUAUUUUAGAUUGCAGCGUAUUUUCUAUUUGGGUUUAGUUAGGGUUUCUCUUGUUUAUUCCAAGAUAUGCAUGGAUAAUUCAUGUUCGACUAUUUGGAAAGAGGGAUUUAUGUAGCACGGGUAUUAUAUUAUGGUUUUGGAAGUGUCGAGAUAAAUUAAGGACUUUUUUAAUCUUCUUCAAACAAACCUAUACGAAGGUGAAGAAUAAUUUGUGCUUGUAUUUUAGUCGGAAUAAGAAGAAACAUGAAGAGAAUGCCCACGAGGAAAAUGACCAUGAGAAAAAGUUGUGUAUUCCUCCAUCCAUAACUGAGCACUCUCUAAUGUGUAUUCCUCCCUCCAUAACUGGCUUACUUUGGACUGUUUGGAUAGAAAGAAACAAUAGAAUUUUUAAGGAUAAAUCAAGGUUUAUUGUUAACUUGUGGGAAGACAUAUGUAACUUGAUCGGAGUUUGGUCUAGGCGUCAUUCAUCUUGUAACCAAUAUGAUGUUAAUUACUACCAACUCUUAACUUUAAGCUUUGUUAGAUUAGGUUGUUCCGGGCUGAUAGAACUAAGUCAUGCACAUCGGAAAAAGAAUCGAAUUUCUACCCUAAUUGCCACAAUUAACAUGUAACCAUAAACAAAUCAAAUUAGGGUUUUAAGAAAUAUUACCUUUGAAGCUUUCAAAAGGUUUGAUAUCUUCUUACCAAUUCUAACCGAGACCACCACUAGUACUCAACUGCUAUCCUCUAGACAAAGAACUGGGUUGUGGGACCCAAUUUUGGUGUAGAAAGUAAUGGAGAAAAAAUGAGAUUGGAAGCUUUCUUUUUUCUUUUGUUGAGAUGAUGAAAAUGAUAAAAGAGGCAAAAGUUCUUCAACAUUUGAAAACACCUCUAUUUAUAGCCUAAUUACAUGCAAAAAUGCAUGCAAUUCAUUUGCCAAAUCUCAACACCUAAUGUUCCACUAACAAUUAGUGGAACUUAGUGGGCUAGGUGUCUAUAUCUCAUAUAGCCACA